GCUGUCGAUCCCCUUGUUCGUGCAUUGGCUGAACAUGAAUGGGCCUGCUAGCUUGAUCUGUCGAGUUUUCGUGGUGCCGCUGUGCGUCAGUUUUGUGUAUUUAUGGGCGAGAUGGACUGAUUGGACCAGUGGGGACGCUAUGCUAGUUUUGGAUCAACGUCUCGUAAGUCAUAGCCUGUUGUUCAUCUGUGGAUGUACAUGCGGUUUCCCUAGCCCAGGAAAAAAGAUCAUCAUUACUAAGGUGGCUUUGCUAUAAUUUAUUUCCUAGUCCUAGAAAUUAAAGAGUGAAGCGUUCGAUUAUGCUAUUUCCAACCCAGAAAAAUGCUAAACAAAAUAAGUACUUUUUCUUAGGAAACGAGCAUCGUGCACCCAAUUUUAUUCGCGUAUGUUCUAUGAUGACAUACACAAACACUUUCGAGGAACCUCUACACUUUUUAUUUUCAAAGCAUUAGCGUCUUGACAUACAGACAUUUCAUUUUUUUUAGAAAAGGAGAAUGAUCCCCGGCCUCUGCAUCUUGGAGAUGCAUGCGGCCAUUUUAUUAAUUAUUCUCGAGAACCUUACAAAGUACUCCCUCCGUCCCAUAAUAUAAGAAGCUUUUUGACACUAGUGUAGUGUCAAAAAACGUCUUACAUUAUGGGACGGAGGGAGUAGAACACAAUAUGUUUGAAUCCGCCAUCUUGACAACAUCUGCCACUAUUCCUAUCCAUUUGAUGAAAGGGUGCAAGCCGGGCCACAUACACAGACCUCUCACUUAAGCCUAACAUCUAAAGCCGGAGGCCCCGACCGAGCCAUCUACCGGGUCCGCGGCACAAACCGGUCCGACGCACUCACAUGUGUCGUUGCCGCCAUCUUCCACUGGUCCAUCUUCAGAGCAAAUUGAGGUGUCAACCUUAGCAGGUCCUCCGCCAUCGACGCCACCACGACGCGAAACAACGACCUCCACCUACGCGAGCCUUGGCAGGUCUUCCGCCAUGGGCGCCACCACGAUGCCAAACGACGACCUCGACCUACGCGAGUCCAUCUCCAAGCAACAGACGUAGAUCCAUGUGAAGGAAAUAUGCCCCAGAGGCAACAAUAAAGUUGUUAUUUUAUAUUUCCUUAUAUCAUGAUAAAUAUUUAUUAUUUAUGCUAGAAUUGUAUUAAAUGGAAACUUGAUACAAGUGUGGAUACAUAGACAAAACACCGUGUCCCUAGUAAGCCUCUACUAGACUAGCUCAUUAAUCAAAGAUGGUUAAGUUUCCUAACCAUAGACAUUUGUUGUCAUUUGAUGAACGAGAUCACAUCAUAAGAAAUAUGAUGUGAUGGAUAAGACCCAUCCGUUAGCUUAGCAUAAUGAUCGUUUAGUUUUAUUGCUAUUGCUUUCUUCGUGUCAAAUAUAUUUUCCUUCGACUAUGAGAUUAUGCAACUCCCGGAUACCGGAGAAAUGCCUUGUGUGCUAUCAAACGUCACAACGUAACUGGGUGAUUAUAAAGAUGCUCUACAGGUAUCUCUGAAGGUGUUUGUUGAGUUGGCAUAGAUCAAGAUUAGGAUUUGUCACUCCGAGUAUCAGAGAGGUAUAUCUGGGCCCUCUCGGUAAUACACAUCAUAAGCUUGCAAGCAAACGACUAAGGAGUUAGUCACGAGCUGAUGUAUUAUGGAACGAGUAAAGAGACUUGCUGGUAACGAGAUUGAACUAGGUAUGAAGAUACCAACGAUCAAAUCUCGGGCAAGUAACAUACCGAUGGACAAAGGGAAUAACGUAUGUUGUCAUAACGGUUUGACCGAUAAAGAUCUUCGUAGAAUAUGUGGGAGCCAAUAUGAGCAUCCAGGUUCCGUUAUUGGUUAUUGACCGGAGAGUUGUAUCGGUCAUGUCUACAUAGUUCUCGAACCCGUAGGAUCCGCACACUUAACGUUCGAUGACGAUAUAAUAUUAUAUGAGUUAUAUGUUUUGGUAUCUGAAUGCUGUUCGAAGUCCCGGAUGAGAUCACGGACAUGAUGAGGAGUCUCGAAAUGGUCGAGAGAUAAAGAUUUAUACAUAGGACGAUGGUAUUCAGACACUGGAAGUGUUUCGGAGGGUACCAGGUACAUAUCGGGUCACCGGAAGGGGUUCCGGGCAUCCCCGACAAAGAUAUGGGCUUAAUGGGCCAAAGGAAGGGACAGACCAUCCCACAAGGGGCUGGUGCGCCCCUCCACCAGGCCGGCCAGCCCUAGGCAAGCCCCUCCUUCCUUCCCCUCCUCAAGGGAGAAAGGAAGGGGGGUGCCACCUCCCCCUUCCUUCACCUGGCGCCUAUACAAGGAAGGGGGGGGGGAACCAGGGCAGGAGCACAAGUGGGACUCGACCCCACUUGGGGCGCCCCUUGGCCUCUCCCCUCUCCCUCUCACCUGUAUAUAUGAGGAGGAGGGGCGCCUAGCACACACCAGACAAUUGCCUAGCCGUGUGCGACGCCCCCUCCAUAGUUUACACUCUCGGUCAUAUUCUCACGGUGCUUAGGCAAAGACCUGCGAGAAUCACUUCACCAUCACCGUCACCACACCGUCCUGCUGACGGAACUCAUCUACUACCUCGACGUAUUGAUAGAUUAAGAAGGCGAGGGACGUCAUCGAGCUGAACGUGUGCAAAACUUGGAGGUGUCGUACAUUCGGUACUUGAUCGGUCAGAGCUAGAAGAAGUUCGACUAUAUCAACUGCGUUGUCAAGCGCUUCCUCUUACGGUCUAUGAGGGUACGUAGACACACUCCCCCCCUCAUUGCUAUGCAUCUCCAUGGAUAGAUCAUUGCGUGUGCGUAUUUUUUUUGUUUUGCAUGCAACGUUUCCCAACAGUGGUAUCAGAGCUAGGUCUAUGCGUAGAUGAUAUGCACGAGUAGAACACAAAUAGUUGUGGGCGGUGAUCGUCAUAUGAUAACCCACAAGUGUAGGGGAUCGUUUGUAGCCUUCUUCGAUAAAUAAGAGCGUCGAACCCAACGAGGAGCUAAAGUUAGAACAAAUAUUCCCUCAAGUUCUAUCGACCACCGAUACAACUCUACGCACACUUAUCGUUUGCUUUACCUACAACAAGUAUGAAACUAUUUUGCAAGAAUAAAACUACGAGUACUUUGAGAGAAUAAAACUACGGAUAAAAUGCAAGGUAAUAAAAGUGGAUAGCUUUUGUGAACAAGAAAGUCAUUUGUCCCUAGGCAAUCAAUAACAAGUACCGGUAAUCAUUCUUGCAAUUUUAUAUGAGGGAGAGGCAUGAGCUAACAUACUUUCUCUACUUGGAUCAUAUGCACUUAUGAUUGGAACUCUAGCAAGCAUCCGCAACUACUAAAGAUCAUUAAGGUCGUGAAACCCAACCAUAUCAUUAAGUAUCAAGUCCUCUUUAUCCCAUAUGCAACAACCCACCUACUCGGGUUUAAGCUUCUGUCACUCUCGCAACCCACCAUAAGCGAAUCAUGAACGUAUUGCAACACCCUACAGUGGGGACCCCUUACGUUUGCGUGAGACGGGAGGGCACCAUAGGAUGGCACCAUAAAUAAAAUAUACAAUCAUACCAACCAAGAUCACAAUUAACCCAUAGGACAAAACGGAUCUACUCAAACAUCAUAGGAUAACCAAAUAUCAUUGGGUAAUAAUAUAUGGAGUUAAGCACCAUGUUUAAGUAGAUAUUACAGCAGGGAGAAGGGNNNNNNNNNNNNNNNNNNNNNNNNNNNNNNNNNNNNNNNNNNNNNNNNNNNNNNNNNNNNNNNNNNNNNNNNNNNNNNNNNNNNNNNNNNNNNNNNNNNNNNNNNNNNNNNNNNNNNNNNNNNNNNNNNNNNNNNNNNNNNNNNNNNNNNNNNNNNNNNNNNNNNNNNNNNNNNNNNNNNNNNNNNNNNNNNNNNNNNNNNNNNNNNNNNNNNNNNNNNNNNNNNNNNNNNNNNNNNNNNNNNNNNNNNNNNNNNNNNNNNNNNNNNNNNNNNNNNNNNNNNNNNNNNUGUUGAUGUAGAUCGCCUUCACGAUCCUAGCCUUGGCGGCGUUCCUGCGCCACUGGGAGAGAGGGGGAGAGAGCCCCCCUCCUCCUUCUUCUUCCUUGUCCCCCCCCCUAGAUGGGAGGAGAGUUUCCCCUCUGGUCCAUGGACUCCAUGGCGGCGGAGGGGCGAGAGACCCUCCGAGAUUAGAUCUAUCUCUCUGUUCUCUUCUGUUUCGCGCUCCCCAGAUCUGGCCCUUCACGGUUUCUUAAAUUCCCGAAGAUCCGUAACUCCAAUCGCGCUGAAAUUUUUACAUGAUUUUUUUUUCCAUAAAUUAUCUUUCUUGUGCCAGAAGAAGGGCCCCAACCGACCUUCGAGGAUGGCAUAAGAUACCUGGACGCGCCAGGGGGUGCCCGACGUGCCCUGGUGGGUUGUGCUCAUUGUGGGCCCCCGUUUGCAUUGAUUCCACCUCCCAAAAAUCAUAAAUAUUCCAAAAUAAUUCUUCAUAAAUGUUUAUCGCGUUUGGACUUCGUUUGAUAUGGAUUUUAUGUGAAACAAAAAACAUGCAACAAACAGGAACUAGCACUGGGCACUAGAUCAAUAGGCAGUCCGAUAAAUCAUAUAAAAAGUUGUUAAAAAUAUGUGAAAGUUGUAUAAUAUUGGCAUGAAACAAUCAAAAAUUAUAGAUACAACGGAGACGUAUCAGCAUCCCCAAGCUUAAUUCCUGCUCUUUCUCGAGUAGGUAAAUGAUAAAAAAGAUAGUUUUUGAUGUGGAAUGCUACCUAGCAUAAACUUGAUCAUAUAUCUAAUCAUGGCAUGAAUAUUAAGACAAGUGAUUCAAAGGAAUAGUCUAUAAUUUGACAUCAAGACAUUAAUACUCAGGCAUCCCAAUAAACAAUCAUGUGUUUCAAACUAUCAACGCUAAAAAAAGCUAUCCCUACAAAAUCAUAUAGUCUUGUCAUGCUCUGUCUUCUUAACACUAAGUAUUUAUCAUGCACAACCCCGAUGACAAGCCGAGCAAUUGGUUCAUACUUUUUAACGUGCUUUAGCUUUUUCAACCCUCACGCAAUACAUGAGCGCGGACCAUGGAUAUAGCACUACGGGUGGAAUAUAGUAUGAUAAUAGGGGUAAAUAUAGAGAAGACAAAAAGGUAAGAAAGUCUCACAUCCAGGCGGCUAACCAACGGGCUUUGGAGAUGCGCAUCAAUUGAUAUCAAUGCAAGGAGUAGGGAUUGCCAUGCAACGGAUGCACUAAGAGCUAUAAGUGUAUGAAAGCUCAAUAUGAAAACUAAGUGGGUGUGCAUCCAACUUGCUUGCUCAUGAAGACCUCGGGCAUUUGAGGAAGCCCAUCAUCGGAAUAUACAAGCCAAGUUCUAUAAUGAAAAAUUCCCACUAAUAUAUGGAAGUGACUAAAUAGGAGACUCUCUAUAUGAAAAACAUGGUUCUACUUUGAAGCACAAGUGUGGUAAAAGAUAGUAACAAUGCCCCUUCUCUUUUUUUUCCUAUUUCUUUUUUUUCUUUUCCUUUUUCUUUUUUUCCUUUUUUUCUCUCAUUGUCCGGAGUCUCAUCCUGACUUGUGUGGGAAUCAUAGUCUCCAUCAUCCUUUCCUCACUGGGACAUGCUCUAAUAAUGAAUAAUGGUGAUCAGCACACUUCUAUUUACUUAUAACUCAAAAGAAAUAAAAAUUACAACUCGAUACCUGAAACAAAAUAUGACUCUACAUGAAUGCCUCUGGCAGUGUACCAGGAUGUGCAAUGAUCUAGCAUAACAAAGAUAUCAAAAAAUGGACAAGCCAUGGAAAUAUCAUGCUAGCUAUCUUACGAUCAUGCAAAGCAAUAUGACCAUGAAUGCUCAAGUCAUCAAAACGGAGGCGGUGAAAGUUGCAUGGCAAUAUAUCUCGGAAUGGCUAUGGAAAGGCCAUAAUAGGUAGGUAUGGUGGCUAUUUUGAGGAAGAUAUAAUAAGGCUUAUGUGUGAUAGAGCGUAUCAUAUCACGGGGUUUGGAUGCACCUGCGAAGUUUGCACCACAUCUCGAGGUGAGAAAGGGCAAUGCACGGUACCGUAGAGGCUAGCAAAUUGCGGAAAGGUAAGAGUGCGUAUAAUUCAUGGACUCACAUUAGUCAUAAAGAACUCAUAUACUUAUUGCAAAAACUUAUUAGCCCUCAAAGCAAAGUACUACUACGCAUUCCCCUAGGGGGUAAAUUGGUAGGAAAAUACCAUCGCUCGUCCCCGACAGCCACUCAUAAGGAAGACAAUCAAUAAUAAAUCAUGCUCCAACUUCAUAUCAUAACGAGAGACUAUACGUGCAUGCUUCGGGAAUCAAAAACCUUAACACCAAUAUUCUUACUAACCACAACCGUUUACUAGUACCUCCCAUAUAUUCCAUCUCUAUAUCUCAAAACUAUUGCAAGGAAUCAAACAUAUCAUAUUCAGUGAUUCAUAAGUUUUAUGUAGGAUUUCAUGACUAACCAUGCAAUUGACCAAUUCCCGUUGACUCUAUAAAUAGAUAUAAUUGAAGCAUGAGAGUUUAAUUCUUUCUACAAAAGACCAUGCUCUAACAAAUAUAAGUGAAGCAGAAGAGCAUUCUUGGAAUAACGGUUUUCUAUGUGAAGAGAAACAGGCAAUCCAAACUUCAAAUGAUAUAAGUGAAGCACAUGAAGCAUUCUAUAAAGCCAUACUCAAAAGAUAUAAGUGAAGUGCAAUGAGAAUUAUAUAAAUAGAUCAUGGACUAUCUCAUACGGGCAUGGUGCAUAAAAUAAAAAUGAAAACUAAGCACAAAAGACGCUCCAAGAUUUCCACAUAUCACAUGAACAAAACAAAAACAUACCGAUACUUGUUGAAGAAAGACGGGAUGCCUUCCGGGGCAUCCCCAAACUUAGACGCUUGAGUCUCCUUAGAUAUUUACUUGGGGUGCCUUGGGCAUCCCCAAGCUUGAGCUCUUGCCUCUCCUCCUUCUCCUCAUAUUGAGACCUCUUUGAUCUUUGAUCUCUUCAUCCACACAAAACUCAACAUAAAGCUCGGUAAGAUCCGUUAGUAUAAUAAAGCAAAUCACUACUCGAAGUACUAUUGAAAACCAAUUCAUAUUUUGUUUUUGCAUUGUAGCUACUGUAAUAUAAAUUUCCCAUGGCUUAUACCACCGAUAGAAUCGAUAGUUUCAUGAAAACAAGCAAAAUAAUGCAUCAAAAACAGAAUCUGUCUUAAGCAGGACAGCGUGUAAUAAUCUGAACACUACCAUACUUCUGUAACUUCAAAAAUUCUGAAAAAUUAGGAAAAAAUAAACAAUUUGUAUAGAAAGACUGCACAAAAAGUUUCAGAACCUUUUUACGUUCCAGCAAAAAAUGUAAAUUCACGCACUACAGCCAAAGUUUCUGUUUCUGCACCGCACAUACUAACAAACAAUCUAUUCAUCCUAAAGGCAAAUCUUUGCACAUGAUAUAAUACAAUGGAUUUGUACAAGGGGAUAAUUAUUUUUGUUAAAAAGUUUCUGUAAUCAAGAUUCACAAAGUUUCCAUGGGCAUGAAUAAAGUUCAAGGCUAGCUCCCACUUUCACAAUGCUCGUCCCUCUCAUUUCACUUUUCUUUUUGUGAAGUUUAAAGUUCCCCUCUAUAUUUUUUUGUUUUAAAACUUUAUAAAAGCACUCAACAGAAUAAAAUGACUCUCUAAAACUUCCAGGUUGUCUCCCUGGCAGCGCUUUCUUUAAAGCCAUGAAGCUAGGCAUAAUGUGCUCAAGUAAUGGAUCCACCGGAUCCCAAGGUAUAUCAAAGCUAAUUUUAAUUAGCAAUGAUUUCGCAUAUAGUAGUGAGCACAAAGCAACAUAUAUCAAGCAAUGACGAAGUCCAACUCUCUUCCUAUGCAUCGGCAUGUCAUACAAGAACAAUUCAUGCACAUCAAGUAAAGGCCAAUACAUAUCAUAAGCAGUUUCUUGCAAUUUUAUCGUUGGAAACAUAAAGAGGUGGAGAUGUAGUUCCUAUCUCAUAAUAAUUUCAAGUAGGAGAAGCAAGCACAUGCACAUUAUAUUCAUCAAAAUUAUCAUGUGCAAUGGUGAAAGGCAACCCAUCAAUGUAGUCCUUAAUAAGUGCAAACUUCUCCGAUAUAGUGUAAUUGGGAGAAUUCAAGAAGAUAAUAGGACUAUCAUGUGUGGGUGCAAUAGCAACAAUUUCAUUCUUAACAUAAGGAACUAUAGAAAGUUCAUCUCCAUAAGUAUAAUUCAUGUUGGCAUCUUGGCCACAAGCAUAGCAAGCGUCAAGUUCAUCAAAAAGGGAUAUUUCAAAGGAAUCAAUGGGAUCAUAGCAAUUAUUAUAGCAUUCAUCCUUCGGUAAGCAUGAAGGGACAUUAAAUAAUGUAUGAGUUAGAGAGUUACUCUCAUUAGAAGGCGGGCACGGGUAGCUAGUCCGUUCUUCCUCCUUUUGUUCUUCACUCUCCUCAUCAUCUUUUCCAUCCAAUGAGCUCACAGUUUCAUCAAUUUCUUCUUCCAUAGACUCCUGCAAAAUGUUAGUCUCUUCUUGGACAGUGGAGAAGUCCUCAAUAUAUGGUUUAAUAUAAGCAUUAGAAGAAUAAUUUUCAUAGCAAUAUUUAAGUAUAUCAACAUAAAGAGUAGCAUCAUACUUUUCAAUCAACGAAGCAACUUCAUAGGCACCCUUAAAAGCAACAAAUUCUUCAAUUUGUUCAAUAUCAAAGUAACUAUAAACACCCUUGGCAUAAGAAAAUAAAAUUCCAUUAUUAGUAAACUCACAUUAGAAGAAAAUGUGUUUCUUAGGGUCUUUGGCAAAAAUUAAAAUCAUGUAUUUCCCAAAAAUUCAAAACAUAGCAAUACAAACUAUUAAUAUGAUGCCACAAAAGUUUCCCUUUUUGAGAUAAGCGGUGUCCCUCAACUAAGCUAGUUGGGUUUUCAACACGAGCAAAAAUGGAUCGAAGAUGAUCCAAAUAGAAAGCUUCAAUAGUAUGAUAGAUUUUGGGUGGUUCUUCAACCAUUGGUUUAGUAGGUAAAACUAAUUUUUUUGGUAUUUUGCCUUUCCUACCCAUAACUAAAGAUAGAAAACAAGAGCACAAAAUAAAAAACUACUUAGUGAUAAAGCAAACAAGCACACCCGAGAAUAUUCACCCCAUGCUAUUGAUCCCCGGCAACGGCAAUAGAAAAAGGUCUUGGUAACCCACAAGUGUAGGGGAUAGUUUGUAGCCUCUUCGAUAAAUAAGAGUGUCGAACCCAACGAGGAGCUAAAGGGAGAACAAAUAUUCCCUCAAGUUCUAUCAACCAUCGAUACAACUCUAUGCACACUUAUCGUUUGCUUUACCUAGAACAAGUAUGAAACUAUUUUGCAAAAAUAAAACUAUGAGUACUUUGCAAGAAUAAAACUACGAAUAAAUUGCAAGGUAAUAAAAGUGGAUAGAUUUUGUCAACAAGAAAGUCAUUUGUCCCUAGGCAAUUGAUAACAAGUACCGGUAAUCAUUCUUGCAAUUUUAUAUGAGGGAGAGGCAUGAGCUAACAUACUUUCUCUACUUGGAUCAUAUGCACUUAUGAUUGGAACUCUAGCAAGCAUCCACAACUACUAAAGAUCAUUAAGGUCAUGAAACCCAACCAUAGCAUUAAGUAUCAAGUCCUCUUUAUCCCGUACGCAACAACCCACCUACUCGGGUUUAAGCUUCUGUCACUUUCACAACCCACCAUAAGCGAAUCAUGAACGUAUUGCAACACCCUACAGCGGGGACCCCUUACGUUUGCGUGAGACGGGAGGGCACCAUAGGAUGGCACCAUAAAUAAAAUAUACAAUCAUACCAACCAAUAUCACAAUUAACCCAUAGGACAAAACGGAUCUACUCAAACAUCAUAGGAUAACCAGAUAUCAUUGGGUAAUAAUAUAUGGAGUUAAGCACCAUGUUUAAGUAGAUAUUACAGCAGGGAGAAGGGGUGUUACAACGCUGCAUUGAGGGGGGGGGGGAGUUGGUGUUGAUGGUAGCAAGAUUGUUGAUGUAGAUCGCCUUCACGAUCCUAGCCUUGGCAGCGUUCCUGCGCCACUGGGAGAGAGGGGGAGAGAGCCCCCCUCCUCCUUCUUAUUCCUUGGCCUCCCCCCUAGAUGGGAGGAGAGUUCCUCCUCUGGUCCAUGGCCUCCAUGGCGGAGGAUGGGUGAGAACCCCUCCGAGAUGGAUCUGUCUCUCUGUUCUCUUCUGUUUUGCGAUCCCCAGAUCUGGCCCUUCACGGUUUCUUAAAUUCUCGGAGAUUUGUAACUCCGACUGCGCUGAAAUUUUUACAUGAUUUUUUCCCAUAAAUUAUCUUUCUUGCGCCAGAAUAAGGGCCCCAACUGACUUUCGAGCAGGGCAUAAGAUACCUGGGCGUGCCAGGGGGUGCCCGGCGCACCCUGGUGGGUUGUGCUCACUGUGGGCCCCCGUUUGCAUUGAUUCCACCUCCCAAAAAUCAUAAAUAUUCCAGAAUAAUUCUCCAUAAAUUUUUAUCAUGUUUGGACUUUGUUUGAUAUGGAGUUUCUGCGAAACAAAAAACAUGCAACAAACAGGAACUGGCACUGGGCAGAGAUCAAUAGGUUAGUCCAAUAAAUCCUAUAAAAAGUUGCCAAAAUAUGUGAAAGUUGUAUAAUAUUGGCAUGAAACAAUCAAAAAUUAUAGAUACGACGGAGACGUAUCAUCAUAUUGCUUACCACCAAUGUCUUAUUUUGAUUCGGCGGUAUUGUUGGAUGAAGCGGCCCGGACCAACUUGACAUGACCACGUUCAUGAGACCGGUUCCACCGGUAGACAUGCAACUAGUUUUGCAUAAAGGUGGUUGGCGGGUGUCUGUUUCUCCUAUUUUAGUUGAAUCGAAUUUGACUGCGACCGGUCCUUGUUGAAGGUUAAAACAGCAAACUUGAUAAAUCACCAUUGUGGUUUUUGUGUCGUAUGUAAGAACGGAUCUUGCUAGAAGCACGUAGCAGCCACGUAAAACUUGCAACAACAAAGUAGAGGACGUCUAACUUGUUUUUGCAGGGCAUGUUGUGAUGUGAUAUGGUCAAGACGUGAUGUGAUAUACGUUAUUGUAUGAGAUGAUCAUGUUUUGUAAAAGUUAUCGGCAACCGGCAGGAGCCUUAUGGUUGUCUCUUUAUUGUAUGAAAUGCAAACGCCAUGUAAUUGCUUUGCUUUAUCACUAUGCGGUAGCAAUAGUUGUAGAAGCAAUAGUUGGCGAGACGACCACGACGCAAUGAUGGAGAUCAAGGUGUCGAGCCGGUGACAAUGGAGAUCAUGACGAUGCUUUGGAGAUGGAGAUCAAAAGCACAAGAUGAUGAUGGUCAUAUAUGUCACAUAUUUUGAUUGCAUGUGAUGUUUAUCUUUAUGCAUCUUAUUUUGCUUAGUACGGCGGUAGCAUUAUAAUAUGACCCCUUAACUAAAUUUCAAGGUAUAUGUUCUCCCUGAGUAUGCACCGUUGCAACAGUUCGUCGUGCUGAGACACCACGCGAUGAUCGGGUGUGAUAGGCUCUACGUUCACAUACAACGGGUGCAAGAAAGUUUUGCACAUGUGGAAUACUCGGGUUAAACUUGACGAGCCAAGCAUGUACAGACAUGGCCUCGGAACACUGGAGACUGAAAGGUCGAACGUGAAUCAUAUAGUAGAUAUGAUCAACAUAGAGAUGUUCACCAUUGAUGACCACUCCAUCUCACGUGAUGAUGGGACAUGGUUUAGUUGAUUUGGAUCACGUACCAUUUAGAUGACUUGAGGGAUGUCUAUCUAAGGUGGAGUUCUUAAGUAAUUUGAUCAAUUGAACUUAAUUUAUCAUGAACUUAAUCCUGAUAGUAUUUGCAUAUCUAUGUUGUGGAUCAAUGGCCCAUGCUAUCGUUCCCUGGAAUGUUAAUGCAUUCCUAGAGAAAGCUAAGUUGAAAGAUGAUGGUAGCAACUACGCGGACUGGGUCCAUAACUUGAGGAUUAUCCUCAUUGCUGCACAGAAGAAUUAUGUCCUUGAUGCACAGCUAGGUGUGCCACCCCCUCCAGCAAGUGCAGAUGUUGUGAACGCCUGGCAGUCGCGUGUUGAUAACUACUUGAUAGUUUAGUGUGCCAUGCUUUACGGCUUAGAAUCGGGACUUCAAAGACGUUUUGAACGUCAUGGACUUCAAAGACAUUUUGAACGUCAUGGAGAAUAUGAGAUGUUCCCAGAGUUGAAGUUAAUAUUUCAAUCAAAUGCCCGAGUUGAGAGAUAUGAAGUCUCCAACAAGUUCUAUAGCUGCAAGACGGAGGAGAACAGUGUCAGUGAACACAUACUCAGAAUGUCUGGAUAUCAUAAUCACUUGACUCAGCUGGGAGUUAGUCUUCCAGAUGAUAGUGUUAUUGACAUAGUUCUCCAAUCACUGCCACCAAGCUACAAAGGCUUCGUGAUGAACUAUAAUAUGCAAGGGAUGGAGAAAACAAUUCCCGAGCUCUUCGCAAUGCUCAAAGCUACGGAGGUAGAAAUCAAGAAGGAGCAUAAAGUGUUGACGGUUAACAAGACCACUAGUUUCAAGGAAAGGGUCAAGGGAAAGAAAGGGGACUUCAAGAAGAAUGGAAAACAAGUUGCCACUCCCGGGAAAAGCCCAAAGCUGGACCUAAGCCUGAAACUGAGUGCUUCUACUGCAAAGGGACUGGUCACUAGAAGCGGAACUGCCCCAAGUAUUUAGCGGAUAAGAAGGAUGGCAAAGUGAAAAAAGUAUAUUUGAUAUACAUGUUAUUGAUGUGUACCUGGGUAUUUGAUACUGGUUUAGUUGCUCAUAUUUGUAACUCGAAACAGGAGCCACAGAUUAAACAAAGAUUGGCUAAGGACGAGGUGACGAUGCGCGUCAGGAAUGGUUCCAAGGUCGAUGUGAUCGCCGUCGGCAUGCUACCUCUACAUCUACCUUCGGGAUUAGUUUUAGACAUGAAUAAUUGUUAUUUGGUGCGAACGUUGAGCAUGAACAUUAUAUCUGGAUCUUUUUUAGUGCGAGACGGUUAUUCAUUUAAAUCAGAGAAUAAUGGUUGUUCUAUUUAUAUGAGUAAUUUCUUUUAUGGUCAUGCACCCUUGAAGAGUGGUUUUAUUCUGCUGAAUCUCGAUUGUGGUGAUACACAUAUUCAUAACAUUGAUGCCAAAAGAUGCAAAGUUGAUAAUGAUAGUGCAACAUAUUUGUGGCGCUGCCGUUUAGGUCAUAUUGGUGUAAAGCGCGUGAAGAAACUCCAUGCGGAUGGACUUUUGGAAUCACUUGAUUAUGAAUCAUUUGAUACUUGCGAACCAUGCCUCAUGGGCAAGGUGACUAAAACUACGUUCUCCAUAACAAUGGAGCGAGCCAAUGACUUAUUGGAAAUAAUACAUACCGAUGUAUGCGGUCCGAUGAGUGUUGAGGCACGCAAUGGGUAUCGUUAUUUUCUAACCUUCACAGAUAAUUUGAGCAGAUAUGGGUAUAUCUACUUAAUGAAACACAAGUCUAAAACAUUUGAAAAGUUCAAAGAAUUUCAGAGUAUGGUGGAGAAUCAUCGUAACAAGAAAAUAAAGUUUCUACGAUCUGUUCGUGGAGGCGAAUAUUUGAGUUACGAGUUUGGCCUUCAUUUAAAACAAUGUGGAAUAGUUUCACAACUCACGCGAGCUGGAACAUCACAACAUAAUGGUGUGUCCGAACGUCGUAACCGUGUUAGAUAUGAUGCGAUCUAUGAUGUCUCUUACCUAUUUAACACCGUCGUUUUGGGGUUAUGCAUUAGAGACAACUGCAUUCACGUUAAAUAGGGCACCAUAUAAAUCCGUUCAGACGACAUCGUAUGAACUGUGGUUUGGAAAUAAACCUAAGCUAUCGUUUCUUAAAGUUUGGGUUUGCGACACUUAUGUCAAAAGGCUUCAGCCUGAUAAGCUCGAACCCAAAUUGGAGAAGUGUGUCUUCAUAUGAUACCCUAAGGAAACAAUUGGGUACAUGAGGGAUUCCUGGAUAGGGGGGGUAUCCGGACAGCUGGACUAUGUACUUUGGCCAGACUGUUGGACUAUGAAGAUACAAGAUUGAAGACUUCGUCCCUUGUCCGGAUGGGACUCUCCUUUGCGUGGAAGGCAAGCUUGGCGAUUUAGAUGUAGAUGUCCUUCUCUGUAACCGACUCUGUGUAACUCUAGCCCCCUCCAGUGUCUAUAUAAACCGGAGGGUUUAGUCCGUAGGAUAACAACAAUCAUACCAUAGGCUAGCUUCUAGGGUUUAGCCUCUACAAUCUCGUGGUAGAUCAACUCUUGUACUACUCAUAUCAUCAAGAUCAAUCAAGCAGGAAGUAGGGUAUUACCUCCAUCGAGAGGGCCCGUACCUGGGUAAAACAUCAUGUCCCCAGUCUCCUGCUACCAUUAGCCUUAGACACACAGUUCGGGACCCCCUACCCGAGAUUCGCCGGUUUUGACACCGACAUUGGUGCUUUCAUUGAGAGUUUCUCUGUGUCGUCGCUAUAAGGCUCGAUGGCUCCCGCAACCUUCAACAAUGCAGUCCAGGGUGAGACUUUUCUCCCCGGACAAAUCUUCGUGUUCGGCGGCUUCGCACUGCGUGCCAGCUCGCUUGGCCACCUGGAGCAGAUCGACAACUACGUCCCUGGCCAUCAGGUCAGGUUUGGGAACUUGAAUUACACGGUCGAUAUCCGCGGAGACUUGAUCUUCGACGGAUUCAGGCAUGCAUCGAGAGUAUCAAACAGUCACGACGAGCAUGGCUUAAAUAUGCUAUCGGACAGUAUUCGGGAUAUCACCCCUGCAGCCGCUCUGGACCUAAAUCCGAGGCAGAUCGCGUCGACCGAGGAUAGGUGGAUGGACCCCCGCCACGGAGGCUGCAUACUCUUCGGCGGUAGAGCCGAACACAGACUCCGUUGUUAAGGGGAUCUGCAUCGCUGGACCCCCGGACCUGCGUCCGGACGUGGGUUCCGAACCGCGAGCAUCUGGGCACAUCAAGUCCGAUUGGGCUCCAAUAAUGGAGUUCACCGCCGCGGAUAUCUUUUAGCACUCCCCCUUUGGUGAUGUGCUAAAUUCAUUAAGGUCUCUCUCUCUAUCAGGAGAGUCCUAGCCGAACUAUGUUCGGCUCGAGUGGGAAGUAGGCGACGAAGAAAUUCGUUAUCCACCCACCACCCACUUCAUAUCCAUGGUCGAUGGUUUGACCGACGUGCUUAACUUCGACUCCGAAGAUGUUGACGGUAUAGACGACGAUGCUGGAGAAGAACAGGAACCACCGCCCAUAGGGCGCUGGACUGCCACCUCUUCAUAUGAUAUAUAUAUAUAUGGUGGACACCCCAAAAGAAAACAACGGCGAUGAGGCAACAGAAGAUAACCCCUCAGGGAAGAAAUCAAAGCAUGGGCGUCAUCAGCGCCGCUCUAAGCCCCGCCACAGCAACACCGGCACUGGAGAAGAAAAAAUCCAGAUGGUGCCGAAGAGGAAUACAAUCCUGAUCAGCCUACCUUCGAGCAGGCCGAACAAGAACACGGGCAGGUCAGCCCAGAUGAACAGGCAACAGACGGAUACUUGGAGGACGACAACUAUAUGCCUCCCUCCGAAGACGAGGUGAGCCUCAACAACGACGAAUUCGGCAUACCGGAGGAUCCCAUAGAGCAGGAGCACUUUAAGCGCCGGCUUAUAGCCACUACAAGAAGCCUGAAAAAGAAGCAGCAACAGCUCCAAGCUAAUCAAGAUUUGCUCGCAGACAGAUGGACUUAGGUCCUGGAGGCCGAGGAAUACGGACUCGAGCCCCCCACCAAAGGGUUACCCAAAGCACAAGUUGCUACCUCAGCUGGAGGAAGAGCCCGUAGAACCUACACUACCAGCAUAAGAUGAGGCUGACCAGCCACAUCGUGGCCGGGAUAAAACAACAUAUCAGACCGAAUACCAGCCCGCACUCCCACGCCAGUUCACUGUGGCCCGGGGAAAUAUGCAGGACCUGUGAGAUAUAUUAGAAAACAACGCAGGACAAUCAUGAUCAAUCUAUGGAUCACGGGGGUGCGCCACAGCACAUGACGAUGACCAUCAUACCGAAUACACUAAUAAUAAGUCCGACCGGGCCGAACAUAACCGACCAGAUUUAGUCGGACUGCGUCGUGACAUAGCCCGGCAUAGAGGGGCCGCACACCCCCUCUGCUUCACUGAUGAAGUAAUGGAUCACGAAUUCCCAGAAGGGUUUAAACCCAUCAACAUCGAAUCCUACAACGACACACCAGACCCCGCGGUAUGGAUCAAAGAUUUCCUUCUCCACAUUCACAUGGCCCGCGGUGAUGAUCUACAUGCUAUCAAGUAUCUCCCCCUUAAGCUUAAAGGACCAGCCAGACAGUGGCUGAAUAGCCUGCCGGUGAACUCCAUCGGCAGCUGGGAAAAUCUCAAGGACACAUUCCUCAAUAACUUCCAAGGUACCUACAGGCGACCACCGGAUGCUGAUGACUUAGGUCACAUUACCUAACAGCCCGGAGAGUCAGCCAGGAGACUCUGGACCCGGUUCCUACUAAAAAAGAACCAAGUCACCGACUGUCCGGACACCGAAGCCAUAGCAGCCUUCAAACACAGUAUCCGGGACAAGUGGCUCGCCCGACACCUUGUCCAAGAGAAACCAAAGUCCAUGGCGGCCCUACCAACACUCAUUACCGACUUUUGCGCAGGCGAAGAUAGCUGGCUGGCUCACAGCAACAAAGCAAACACCCCUGCACAUUAGAGGCCAGAUAUAGCACCCAUAAACAUCGACUCAACAAACAUAAGCGUCCCAAGACUAAUGAUGAUGCCCGUGAGACGGCAGUCAACGACGGAUUCCACGGCUCCCAGUGUGGUCGGCAGAAAAAGCCACUUCAACAAAGCAAUUCGGGCCAAUCCGGCCUGGACCGCAUCCUCGAUCGCCCAUGCCAAAUCCACGGUACACCAGGAUCGGCAGCUAAUCAUACAAAUAGAGAAUGCCGGGUCUUCAAACAAGCCGGCCGGUCAUACACCAAAAACAAUAAAGGGGUCUCAAAGCAAUGCAAUACAGAGAAAAAGAAACUCCUACGCAAUCCAACAUGCUGAGCGUUAUAAACACGACCCUAGAGGUGUUCUCUGGAUCACCGAAUGAUCACCAUACCGGAGAAUCAGUCUUCAACACUAUCCCCCUAUAUAGUAACUAUUACGUACUGCUGGGGCGAACCACGAUUGGCUCAAUUCAACGUGGUACCAUACCAGGCCCACGUGACAUAGUCACAAUUAUGGGCACGGCUGAACCACACUUCAGCGCCGAAAAGCAUACGGCCACUGAAGCAAUGAAUUGUGCCACCUUGCCGAACCUCGAUUCGGCAGCCAACCCCUCGGACACCAAUAAAGGAGUCCGAACUACUUCAUGACAAGAUAGCUCGGCUCGACCAGACGCCAGUCAAACACCCUGGCAUAAGUUGGGAAGGGUCACGCCCUGCGGUUCAACCGCUCCGUGGCGCACAUACGUCUCUCAGCAUUUUCCUUGCAGGAUCUCUUCUGCGGAUAAUAGGACUGGCGCCAGGAAAUCAGCCCGGACGCGCAAAGGGGGAAUCUUUGAACAUUUCCUCCGAAGAUGAUCCGGACAUACUUUGGAUUCAUACACAGGGUACGCCGUCAUACCUCCUUUUUACAACAUGAACAGUACCCAUACGCAUAAACGUAUUACUUAAAUACAACUAGUAGAGAUAUAUGACACUUAUCUGCUAUCAUCUAUCAUUGACAUUUUUAAGUCAUAAAAGGCAUCCGAAUAUCGUGUUAUGCCUUAAAACGCCAAGGGGCUUCAUUAUACCCACACCAUGGCAACAAAGUCCGACCACCUUCUUGGUUGCUCGGCACCCCGAACUUAUAGCAUUGUAUGCAUCAGCUCCGAAUCAUGUCUUGGGUCAUUAGUUGGGUUUGCCCGGCUCCCAUGUUUUGGUACCUUACGUUCCACAAUAUCGGCUAAGGUAGCGCUGGGAGAACUACUGCGAUUGUGUCCUGGUUCUUCCGGACGAGCACCUCAGUAGAGAAAGCCGAAAACUGACUGUCAUGAUAAGGCGAGAGCUAGUCAGCUGUUCGAGAGGUUGUAAAAUCUUUAAGGAUUUAUUCCGCAUAAUGCCAUCAUAAAUGCAGAGUCCGAUGGAUCGGUCUACCGAUCAGGUGCCGUUAGAGUCCGUCGUACGGUCUUCCGAACACCAGGGGCUGCGCCUACCAUACUCGAAUUCCUAUGGCUAAGUGAGAGUCAUAAAGCCCUAUAGUCUGAUUGCCUGGUUCGCUGUGCUGAACACCUCCUUCAUGGACCCAAGAAUAGGGUAAAGAGUGUUCAGGUGUAUCCCGAACGCCCCCGCACUUCCUACAUGGGGGCAGAAGCCGACGACUGGCCAACUCUCAAAACUAACAUAUAAAACGGCCGCACAUGAGGAAAAACUUUCAUAUAAUAGGCAAAUACAUAAAUAAAGGUGACUUUGUUCCGCCUUACAAAGGACAACAUGAUUGCCUUCAUGGAAAUACAAUGUCUUUGGUACAUUGCUCCGCCACAAGGCGGGCUCCUUUCAGGACACCAUUGUAAUAUAGUUUGGGCUUCCGGUGCUCCUUCCCCUCGGGUGGUCCCUCGGUCAUCAGCUUUUCAGCAUCCAGCUUUCCCCAGUGCACUUUCGCGCGGGCAAAUGCCAUUCGCGCACCUUCUAUACAAACCAACCGCUUAAUGAUGUCAAGCCGAGGAUAGGCACUCACAAUUCGUUUCACGAGCCCAAAGUAACUGCUCAGAAUAGGCUCGGCGGGCCAUAGACAGACAAUCAGAUCCUUCAUGGCUAGUUCGGCUGCCUGGUGCAGUUUGACCAGUUGCUUCAGCUGAUCGACGAAUGGCACCGGAUAAUUCGGUGCCAAAUACUGCGACCAGAAAAGCUUUUCUGCAGUCUUCUUCUCCUCAGCUCGAUAGAAUUGAGCAGCAUCAAAUAUGCUGCACGGAAGAUCCGCAAACACCCCUGGAGAAAUCAGAAGUCAAUUGGUCACCUCGAAUUUUUUUUGCUACGGCAUCAACAAAUGCUCUAAAUAGGAAAAGGCCUUACCAGCCGCAAUCUUCCUCACCUCCUGAAUGUCCUUCAGAGCACCUUGGGCUUCCUCUCGAGCAUCAGUUGCGGCUUGGAGAGCUUGGGUGAGUUCGGAUUCUUUCAAUGACAAACUCUGCCCCAAAGUCUCGCUUUUCUGCACGGCCUCCUGAAGCUCUUGUUCAGCUUCAAUGACCCUGGCCUCGUGCUUCUUGCGAAGGGUCUGUUCCGCAGCUGCCUUCUUUUCGGCUAAGGCUACAGCCUUCUUCAAUGCCUCAAUUUCAGCAUUCGCCCCUAGAGUGCGAAAUAUACAUACUUUCAUUAGGCGCACUAACUUCAUUGUGCUAAAAUUAAACAAGGAUUUGACAUACCUUGGUAGUCCUCCAACUGCUUCUUCACCUGGCCAAGUUCCUAUUCGUCUCGCCCCAGACUCUGCUUCAGUCCAAAUACUACCGCAGUAUGAGAGGCCGCAGUCGUCGCAAACACCUGUUUAUAAAGGAAGAGAUAUAUGUCAUGCACUGAGUCUCCUGUGGGAGGAAAUUUGAUCCCCUGUCCGGUUCCUUCUUUCAUCGGACAGUGUAUCAGGGGUUACUAACUAUACUAUGACAAAUCUUCUAAAAACUCCUAAAAACUUACCUCCAAGCCUUUUAUAAGGCUGAUGCAGGAUUCAUUUCUUCCACUUUCAGCGGCCUGAACCUUCUCAAUCACCACGCCAUAAGGGUGCGAUGUUCAUCGAUGAUGGAAGCGCUCUUCAGCGCUGUCAAUAAGCUGCCGUGCAUCUCUGGUCAGGCAAAGGUCGCCGAUGGAGUUGGAUCACCUCCUCUAGUCAAGGGGGCGGCCCGUCUGAACCUGGAGCCUCAAAGGUCUCUGGGACUGUGUCCGGCUGUGGGCCGAAUACAAGAUCGCCGCCGCCAUCGACACUUAGUUGAGCCACCGCUCCCGCGUAUCCGACCCCUGAGGUGCGCCCCUCCUGGUUUAGCUCCUUUUGGGACGACACCUCGGAGUCAUGCCCGAGCUUUGGGGAAGGGGCCCUCGGAGGUGUCUCGCUCUUAAGGGCAUCUGAGCUCAACGAAUCCUCCGAUGAGGACUGUUCGGCGCGAGACCUGGCCGGGCUGCAAAAAGUAUUGCACCAAUUAAUUUAUUCGUGCCUUGGUAAUACUGGAAGCGUAGACGUGUUCGGAUUUUGGGCACUUACGAGUUUUCCAGGGGCUAGGCCUUGGGAUCCUACUCCGGGCUGCUGUCGGUAGCCGUAGUGGACGCCUCUGGCAGGGGAGUUUCCCCCCUCUUAGGCAAUUCAGCCUCCAGAGAUGAGGAGGCCGUCCUUUUCUUUCCUCCCCCCUUGGGGGACUCAUCUUCCUCCUCCUCUUCCUCUUCAGAGGAGAGAGGGGUAUUGGAGUCUUCGGAUUUUGUGUCCGAAGCCUCACGACGACGCAGGCCGCCUUGGUCUCCUUGGCCUCUUUAUGGGCCUCUUUCUUUGGCACCUUGUAAGGCGCCGGGACCAGCAUCUUUGUCAGAAGUGGUCCAGCUGGUUCUUCUGGCAGCGGGGCUGGACAGUGUAUCCGCCCCGCCUUCUUCGUCCAUCCCUAAAGAUGAUUGUGGGAAGCGCGUUAGGGCAUCUUCCCCGGAUAUAACAAUGAAACAUAUGGAUGGACAAAACAUAAUGACUACUUACCGGACUUGCGGGGCGGGACAGUUGGUACCCACGGUCCGCGGCGGAGUCCGGCCAUGGUUUCCGGACUUAAAAAGCACCUUCCAGAUGUCCUUGUGUGAGGAGCCGUAAAGUUCCUGCAGGAUCUGGUGCUCGACUAGGUCGUACUCCCGCAAACUGCAGGCUCGGUGCUGACAGGGAAGAACCAGGCGAACCAGCAUCACCUCGACUAUGUCAACAAGCUUCAUGGCCUUGUCUUCCAUACCUUUCGCACGUGUCUGGAUCAUCGACAGCUCAUCAGAUGAAGACAAGUUCAAGCCCUUCUUGGUCCAGGUGGUAAGCCGCAAAGGGGCUCCGGAUCGGAACUCAGGAGCUGCGGCUCACUUUUUGCCGCGCGGCUCAGUGAUAUAGAACCACUGUUGCUGCCACUCCUUGACAGAAUCAUUGAAAGUACCUAUCGGCCAUGUGACCUUGGGCAUCCUGCUCACCAUGGCACCUCCACACUCGGCGCGCUCGCCGUUCACCACCUUGGGCUUCACAUUGAAGAUCUUCAGCCAUAAGCCGAAGUGUGGCGCGAUGCAGAGAAAGGCCUCGCACACGAUGAUAAAUGUCGAGAUGUUGAGAAAGGAAUUGGGGGAUAGAUCGUGGAAAUCGAUCCCGUAAUAAUACAUGACGCCACGAACAAAUUGGUGAAGGGGAAACCCGAGCCCGCGGACAAAAUGAGGGAGGAACACGACCCUCUCAUGGGACUCCGGAGUAGGGAGAAUCUGUCCCACUGCCGGAAGGCGGUGGCCGAUUUUCUGGGCCAGGUACCCGGCCUCCCGAAGCUUUUUAAUAUCCUUCUCCUGGACGGUAGAGGCCAUCCACUUGCCUCCUGCUCCGGAUCCGGACAUUUUUGGAAGAACCUUCGUUGGUGGAGAAGAUGAACGCUCGGGCGUUAGGGCUCAAGAGAAAGAGAAUGGACGAGCAGAAGGAGAAGGCGUGGGUAAAAAGGAAGAGGCCUUUCCUCUUUAUAGAGGCAAUGAAACUCUGCGCCUCCCCGAUUGCCUAAUGAAACCUGCUCGUUCCCCACUCACCGUUUUGGUGGUGCGGUUGGGUUACCCACACCCGUAUUGAUGAGAAUCCCGCGAUAAGGGGGACAUGAUCUCUGUUUUGACAAGACGUGCCAAACAAACCGCCUCGCAAUGUGUGCGGUGUCUGGUUAUAAAAAACGGUUCGAAUAAAAGCCGGGCCAUGGCAUGAUGUCAUGCUACAAAGAGUUGUCAGCAGAUUAGAUUCGUGGAUUACUGUUCUCUCUACGGUGGUAUGUGAAGUUUGUCUUGCAGAGCCGGACACGGUCCUUGUGUUCGGAAUUUAUCUUGGAGUAUUCUGAGAUGGAACCCGCCUUGCAAUGCCGAAGACAAUCUGCGCGCCGGACUCAUCAUAAUUGAAGCCUGGUUCAUGGGCUACUGAGGGAUUCCUGGAUAGGGGGGUAUCUGGACAGCCGGACUAUGUACUUUGGCCGGACUGUUGGACUAUGAAGAUACAAGAUUGAAGACUUCGUCCCGUGUCCGGAUGGGACUCUCCUUUGCAUGGAAGGCAAGCUUGGUGAUUCGUAUGUAGAUCUCCUUCUCUGUAACCGACUCUGUGUAACCCUAGCCCCCUUCGGUGUCUAUAUAAACCGGAGGGUUUAGUCCGUAGGACAACAACAAUCAUACCAUAGGCUAGCUUCUAAGGUUUAGCCUCUACGAUCUCGUGGUAGAUCAACUCUUGUACUACUCAUAUCAUCAAGAUCAAUCAAGCAGGAAGUAUGUUAUUACCUCCAUCAAGAGAGCCCAAACCUGGGUAAAACAUCGUGUCCCCAAUCUCGUGUUACCAUUAGCCUUAGAUGCACAGUUCGGGACCCCCUACCCGAGAUCCGCCGGUUUUGACACCGACAGUACACCUUCUACCAUAGAUCCGAAGGCAAGAUCUUUGUUGCCAAGAAUGGAACCUUUCUAGAGGAGUUUCUCUCGAAAGAAGUGAGUGCGAGGAAAGUUGAACUUGAUGAGGUAAUUGUACCUUCUCUCGAUCGAGAAAGUAGCUCAUCAGAUAAAUCCGUUCUCGUGAUGCCUACACCAAUUAGAGAGGAAGCUAAUGAUGAUGAUCAUGAAACUUUAGAUCAAGUUACUAUCGAACCUCGUAGGUCAAUCAGAACAUGAUCGACACCAGAGUGGUAUGGUAAUCCUGUUCUGGAGGUCAUGUUACUAGACCAUGGCGAACCUAUGAAUUAUGAAGAAGCUACGAUGAGCCUAGAUUACUAUAAAUGGCUUAAGGCCAUGAAAUCUGAGAUAGGAUCCAUGUAUGAGAACAAAGUGUGGACUUUGUUGGACUUGCCCGAUGAUUGACAAGCCAUUUAGAAUAAAUGGAUCUUGAAGAAGAAGACUGACACUGAUGGUAAUAUCACUGUCUACAAAGCUCGACUUGUCACAGAAGGUUUUUGACAAGUUCCAGGGGUUGACUACGAUGAGACCUUCUCACCCAUAGCGAUGCUUAAAUCGGUCCGAAUCAUGUUAGCAAUUGCCGCAUUUUAUGGUUAUUAAAUUUGGAAAUGGAUGUCAAAACUGCAUUCCUUAAUGUAUUUCUUAAAGAAGAGUUCUAUAUGAUGCAACCAGAAGUUUUUGUCGAUCUUAAAGGUGCUAACAAAGUGUGAAAGCUCCAGCAUCCAUCUAUGGACUGGUGCAAGCAUCUGCGAGUUGGAAUAUACGCUUUGAUGAGGUGAUCAAAGCAUAUGGUUUUAUAUAGACUUAUGGUGAAGCCUGUAUUUACAAGAAAGUGAGAGGGAGCUCUAUAGCAUUUCUGAUAUCAUACGUGGAUCACAUAUUGUUGAUUGGAAAUGAUAUGCAAUUUCUGGAUAGCAUAAAAGGAUACUUGAAUAAUAGUUUUUCAGUGAAAGCCCUCAGUGAAGCUGCUUACAUAUUGGGCAUCAAGAUCUAUAGAGAUAUAUCAAAACGCUUGAUAAGACUUUCAAUGAGUACAUACCUGAUAACCCACAAGUAUAGGGGAUCAGAACAGUUUUCGAGGGUAGGGUAUUCAACCCAAAUUUAAAGAUUCGACACAAGGGGAGCCAAAGAAUAUUUGCAAGUAUUAGCAGCUGAGUUGUCAAUUCAGCCACACCUGGAGAUUAAUUAUCUACAGCAAAGUGAUCAGUAGCAAAGUAGUAUGAUAGUUUUGAUAGUAAUGGUAGCAGCAACAGUAACAGUAACAGUGAUAGCAGAAGUUUUUAGCAAGUGCAAUAGUGACAGUAGCGAUAGUAACUUAGCGAGAUCAAUAUGUAGGAAAGUCAUAGGCAUUGGAUCAGCGAUUCGUUGGAUGAUAUUCAUCAUGAGACAGUCAUAACCAAGGGCAAUACAGCACUAGCUCCAGUUCAUAAAUAUAAUGUAGGCAUGUAUUUCGUAAAUAGUCAUACCUGCUUAUGGAAAGAACUUUCAUGUGAUCUUUUGUCCUACGCUCCCGUGGCAGCGGGGUCCUAUUGGAUACUAAGGGAUAUUAAGGCCUCCUUUUAAUAGAGAACCAGAACAAAGCAUUAGCACACGGUGAAUACAUGAACUCCUCAAACUACGGUCAUCACCGGGAGUGGUCCAGACUAUUCUCACUCCGGGGUUGCCGGAUCAUAACACGUAAUAGGUGACUAUAACUUGCAAGAUCGGAUCUAGAACAUAGAUAUAAUGGUGAUAACAUAAACGGUUCAGAGCUGUAAUCAUGGCACCCAGGCCCAAAGUGACAAGCAUUAAGCAUGGCAAAGUCAUAGCAACAUCAAUCUCAGAACAUAAUAGAUACUAGGGAUCAGGCCCUAACAAAACUAACUCGAUUACAUGAUGAAUCUCAUCCAACUCCUCACUGACCAGCGAGCCUACGAAGGAAUUACUCACUCCCGAUGGGGAGUAUCAUGGAGUUGGUGAUGACGAAGAUCGAAGAUCCCCUCUCCGGAGUCCCAAACGGACUCCAGAUUUGGCCUCCCGAUGAAGAACAGGAGACGGCGGCGGCUCCAUCUCGUGAAACGCGAUAGUUUUUCUCCCUGAUUUUUUCUGGAAAAAUAGGAUUUGAUAGCGUCGGUUUCAGGGUCUGCAGGGCCACCAGGUGGGGACAACCCACCUGGGCAUGCCUGGAGGGGGUGGCGUGCCCUGGUGGGUUGUGCCAACCCAGGUGCCCCCCUCCGGUGGUUCUUGGCUCCAGAAAUUCUCUUUUAUUGUAUAUAAAAUCCUCGCAAAGUCUCGUUCCAUUCCAAGAACUUUUAUUUCUGCACAAAAACAACACCAUGGUAGUUCUGCUGAAAAUAGCGCCAGUUUGGGUUAGUUUCAUUCAAAUUAGAGUCCAAAACAAUAGGAAAAGUAGAUAGGACGGAGACGUAUCAACUCCCCCAAGCUUAAACUUUUGCUUGUCCUCAAGCAAUUCAGUUGAUAAACUAAAAGUGAAACAGAAAAACUUUUUACGAAAUCUUUUGCUCUUGUUUCCAUAAAUAAGAUUCAACAUCACCUAGGUUUUCAGCAAAGAUUAUACCUAACCAUGUAGACAAUAAAUCUUAAAAAUUAUAUUAACUCAUAUCAAUGAUAUAAUCAACUAGCGAGCAAUAAUAAGACAUCUCAAACAGCAACACGUUGUUAAAACAAUCAUGAUACAAUAUGACAAUAGUGGUAUCUCGCUAGCCCUUUCUAAGACCCAAAACAUAAAUGCAGAGCACCUCCAAAGUUCAAGCAGCGACUAAACAUUGUAAUUCAUGGUAGAAAAGAUCCAGUCAUGAUGCACCCAACGUUAGCUACACACAAUGCAUUAGCAUCAUAGCAGUGCUCUCAGGUUCUGGCGCUUAUUUGAGAAGGUGAUUGAUAACCCACAAGUAUAUGGAUCGCAAUAGUUUUUGAGGGUAGAGUAUUCAACCCAAAUUUAUAGAUUCGACACAAGGGAAGCCAAAGAAUAUUUGCAAGUAUUAGCAGUUGAGUUGUCAAUUCAACCACACCUGGAGAUUAAUUAUCUGCAGCAAAGUGAUCAGUAGCAUAGUAAUAUGGUAGUUUUGAUAGUAAUGGUAGCAGCAGUAGUAACGGUAACAGUGAUAGCAAUGGUUUUGUAGUAGUAACUAUAGUAGUAGCAGAAGUAGUAACUUAGCAAGAACGAUAUAAGGUAAAUUCAUAGGCAUUGGAUCGGUGAUUUGUUGGAUGAUGUUCAUCAUGAGAUAGGCAUAACCUAGGGUGAUACGACACUAGCUCUAGUUCAUAAAUAUAAUGUAGGCAUGUAUUCCAUAAAUAGUCAUACGUGCUUAUGGAAAGAACUUUCAUGACAUCUUUUGUCCUACCCUCCCGUGGUAGCGGGGUCCUAUUGGAAACUAAGGGAUAUUAAAGCCUCCUUUUAACAGAGAACCGGAACAAAGCAUUAAUUAGCACACGGUGAAUACAUGAACUCCUCAAACUACGGUCAUCACCGGGAGUGGUCCCGACUAUUGUCACUCCGGGGUUGCCGGAUCAUAACACGUAGUAGGUGACUAUAACUUGCAACAUAGGACCUAGAACAUGGAUAUCAUGGUGAUAACAUAAACGGUUCAGAUCUGAAAUCAUGGCACCCGGGCCCAAAGUGACAAGCAUUAAGCAUGGCAAAGUCAUAGCAACAUCAAUCUUAGAACAUAAUGGAUACUAGGGAUCAGACCCUAAUAAAACUAACUCGAUUACAUGAUGAAUCUCAUCCAACUCCUCACCGACUAGCGAGCCUACGAAGGAAUUUCUCGCUCCCGGUGGGGAACAUCAUGGAAUUGGCGACGGAGAAGUGUUGGUGAUGAUGAAGAUUGAAGACCCCCCUCUCCCGAGCCCCAAACGGACUCCAGAUCUGGCCUCCCGAUGAAGAAUAGGAGACGGCGGCGGCUCCGUCUCGUGAAACUCGAUAAUUCUUUCUCCUAAUUUUUUUUCUGGAAAAAUAGGAUUUUAUAGCGUUGGUUUUAGGGUCCACGGGGCCACCAGGUGGGGACAACCCACCUGGGCGCUCCUGGAGGGGGUGGUGCGCCCUGGUGGGUUGUGCCCACCCAGGUGCCCCCCUCGGGUGGUUCUUGGCUCCAGAUAUUCUCUUUUAUUGUAUAAAAAAUCCUCGCUCAGUUUCGUUCCAUUCCGAGAACUUCUAUUUCUGCACAAAAACAACACCAUGCUAGUUUUACUGAAAACAACGUCAGUCCGGGUUAGUUUCAUUCAAAUCAUACAAACUAGAGUCCAAAACAAGAGGAAAAGCGUUAGGAAAAGUAGAUAGGACGGAGACGUAUCAACUCCCCUAAGCUUAAACCUUUGCUUGUACUCAAGCAAUUCAGUUGAUAAACUAAAAAUGAAAAAGAAAAACUUUUACGAACUCUUUUGGUCUUGUUUCCAUAAAUAAGCUUAAACAACACCCAGGUUUUCAGCAAAGAUUAUAACUAACCAUGUAGACAAUAACUCCUAAAAAUUAUAUUAACUCAUAUCAAUGACAUAGUCAGCUAGUGACCAAUAAUAAGAUAUCUCAAACAUGAUAUAAUAUGACAAUAGUGGUAUCUCACUAGGCCUUUCUGACGUCGCAAAACAUAAAUGCAGAGCACCCCCAAAGUUCAAGCAGCGACUAAAUAUUGCAAAUCAUGGUAGAAAAGAUCCAGUCAUGAUGCACCCAACAUUAGCUAUACACAAUGCAUCAGCAUGACAACAUUGCUCUCAGGUUCUAGCGCUUAUUUGAGAAGGUGAUGACACAACAUAAAAGUAAAUAGAUAGUCCCUUCGCAAAGGGAAGUAGUGAUUUGCAGAGGUGCCAGAGCUCAAUUUUUUAAAACAGAGGUAAAUGAAAUUUUGAGGCAUGCACCCUUCUUGUUUAUUUUGCGACAAUCAGUUAUCAAUAUCUUCCAUGCUAAACAAAUUAGUAGAGGUUCCCAAGCGGUAAAGUAAAGGCUUUUGCUCCGUAGGAGUUUUUUGUUUGAUUAUUGCUAGGUUCUUUUUGCAAUUUGGAACUAGGAAUCCCUAUCGAGGGAGUCCUGGAUUAAGGGGUCCUCGGACAGCCGGACUAUAUACUUUGGCCGGACUGUUGGACUAUGAAGAUACAAGAUUGAAGACUUUGUCCCGUGUCCGGAUGGGACUCUCCUUUGCGUGGAAGGCAAGCUUGGCAAUUUGGAUAUGUAGAUCUCCUUCUCUGUAACCGACUCUGUGUAACCCUAGCCCCCUCCGGUGUCUAUAUAAACCGGAGGGUUUAGUCCAUAAAAAAACAAUCAUAAUCAUAGACUAGCUUAUAGGGUUUAGCCUCUACUAUCUCGUGGUAGAUCAACUCUUGUAAUACUCAUAUCAUCAAGAUCAAUCAAGGAGGAAGUAGGGUAUUACCUCCAUCGAGAGGGCUCGAACCUGGGUAAAACAUCGUGUCCCCUGUCUCCUGUUACCAUUACCCUUAGACGCACAGUUCGGGACCCCCUACCCGAGAUCUGCCGAUUUUGACACCGACAUUGGUGCUUUCAUUGAGAGUUCCACUGUGUCAUUGCGGUAAGGCUUGAUGGCUCCUUCAAUCAUCUUCAAUGACGCGGUCCAGGGGGAGAUUUUCCUUCCCGGACAGAUCUUUGUAUUCGGCGGCUUUGUACUGCGGGCCAACUCACUUGGCCACCUUGAGCACAUCGAUAGCUACGCCCCUGGCCAUCAGGUCAGGUUUGGAAGCUUGAACUACACUGCCGACAUCCAUGGAGACUUGAUCUUCGACAGAUUCGAGCCCAUGUUAGGUACGCCAAACAGUCGUGACGAGCAUGACUUAGUUCUGCCAUCAGACAGUGUUCGAGAGAUCGCACCUGCGGCGGCCCCGGGAAUCAAUCCGGAGCAGAUCACACCUUCUGAGGACAGGUGGAUGGACCCCGCCAUGGAGGCCGCACACUCAUCGGUGCUGGAGCCAAACACUGAUCCCACCCCCUGUGAGGGUGGUGUCAUCGGACCCUCGGACUCGUCUUCGGCUAUAGGAUCCGAACCGCGUACGUCCGUGCCUAUCAAAUCUGAUUGGCCACCGGUCAUGGAGUUCACCUCCGCGGACAUUUUUCAGCACUCGGCCUUGGGUGAUGUGCUAAAUUCAUUAAGGUUUCUCUCCUUGUCAGGAGAUUCCUGGCCGAACUAUGUUCGGCUCGAGUGGGAAACGGACGACGAAGAAAUUUGUUCCCCACCCACCACCCACUUAAUAGCCACUGUCGAUGACUUAACCGACGUGCUUGACUUCGACUCCGAAGACAUCGAUGAUAUGGACGACGAUGUAGGAGAAGAAUAGGAACCACCGCCUAUAGGGCACUGGACAAUCACCUCACCAUAUGAUAUAUAUAUAUAUAUAUGGUGGACACCCCCAAAGAAAUCAAUGGCGAUGAGGCAACGGAAGAUAACCCCUUGGAGAAGCAAUCUAGGCACCGGCGUCAUAGGCGCCGCUCCAAGCCCCGCCAUAGCAAAAAUAGUGAUACCGGCACAAGAGAUAACAAUUCGGAUGGUGCCGAAGACGAAAACAAUCCUGCCCAACCAGGCUUCGAGUAGGCCGAGCAAGAGGAUGGGAAAGCUAGCCCUAAAGAACAUGCAACAUACGGAGAAUCAGAGGAUGAUAACUACAUGCCUCUCUCCGAAGACGAAGUGAGCCUUGGCGACGAAGAAUUCAUCGUGCCUGAGGAUCCCGUCCAGCAGGAGUGCUUCAAGCGCCGGCUUAUAGCCACUGCAAAAAGCCUGAAGAAAAAGCAGCAACAACUUCAAGCUGAUCAAGAUCUGCUAACUGAUAGAUGGACCGAGGUCCUGGCUGCCGAGGAACACGAACUCGAGCACCCUACAAAAAGUUACCCGAAGCACAGGUUGCUACCUCAACUUGAGGAGGAGGCGCUAAAGCCCACACUACCAGCGCAUGAUGCGGCUGACCGGCCUCCCCGUGGCCGGGACAAGGCGAAGUACCAGCCCGAAGUCCAGACCGCACCCCGUUGCCAAUCAAACAAUAAUACUAAGGCCCGGGGCUAUCGAAGGACCUGCGAGACGUAUUGGAAAACAAAGCAGGACAGUCAAGAUCGAUCUACGGAUCACGGGGGCGCGCCACAUCACGUGAUGAUGACCGUCACGCCAGAUACAAUAUACGAAAGUCCGGCCGGGCCGAAUACAACAGACCAGAUUCAUUUGAACUAUGUCGGGAUGUAGCCCAGCAUAGAGGCACCACACAUCCCCUAUGCUUCACUGACGAAGUAAUGGAUCAUGAAUUCCUAGAAGGGUUUAAACCCGUGAACAUUGAAUUAUAUGAUGGCACAACAGACCCCGCGGUAUGGAUUUAAGAUUUCCUCCUUCACAUUCACAUGGCCCGCAGUGAUGACUUACAUGCCAUAAGUACCUACCACUUAAGCUCAAAGGACCAUCCCGACAUUGGCUGAAUAGCCUGCCAGCAAGCUCCAUUGGCAGUUGGGAGGACUUGGAAGACGCAUUCCUUGACAAGUUCCAGGGCACUUAUGUGCGACCACCGGAUGCUGAUGACUUAAGUCACAUAACCCAACAGCCUGGAGAGUCAGCCAGGAAAUUCUGGACUCGGUUCCUAACUAAAAAGAACCAAAUUCUCGACUGUCCGGAUGCGGAAGCCUUAGCAGCCUUCAAGCAUAACAUCCGUGAUGAAUGGCUCGCCCGACACCUCGGCCAAGAGAAGCCAAAAUCCAUGGCAGCCCUCAUGACACUCAUGGACCGCUUUUGCGCGGGCGAGGACAGCUUGCUGGCUCAUAGCAACAUCACACCAAAAAACUCCGACGAUUCAGACGCCAGAGAUAGCAACGACAAGCCACGACGCAAUAGACACAAGCGUCGCAACAAUGGCGACAACAUCGAAGACACGACAGUCAAUGCCAGAUUCAGAGGCUCUAAAUCCGGACAGCGGAAGAAGCCAUUCAAAAGAAACAAUCUGGGCUCGUCCAGUCUGGACCGCAUACUCGAUCGCUCAUGCCAAAUUCACGGCACCCCCGAUAAACCAGCCAACCACACCAAUAGAGAAUGCUGGGUGUUUAAGCAGGUCGGCAAGUUGAAUGCCGAAAACAAGGAAAAGGGGCUGCAUAGCGAUGAUGACGAGGAGCCCCAGCCGCUGAACACAGGAGGACAGAAGAAAUUCCCUCCCUAGGUGAAAAUGGUGAAUAUGAUAUACGCAACCCAUAUUCCCAAGCGGGAACGGAAGCGUGCACUAAGGGAUGUCUAUGCGAUGGAGCCACUUGCCCCAAAGUUCAACCCAUGGUCCUCUUGUCCGAUCACUUUCGACCGCAGGGAACAUCCUACCAGUAUCCGUCAUGGCGGUUCGGCCGCAUUGGUCCUUGACCCCAUCAUCAACGGAUUCCAUCUCACACGAGUCCUAAUGGACGGUGGUAGCAGCCUGAACCUGCUCUAUCAGGAUACAGUGCGCAAAAUGGGCAUCGACCCCUCAAGAAUCAAGCCCACAAAAACCACCUUCAAGGGUGUCAUACCAGGUGUGGAGGGCUGUUGCACGGGCUCAAUCACACUGGAAGUGGUCUUUGGAUCUCCGGACAAUUUCCGAAGCGAGGAGUUAAUCUUCGAUAUCGUCCCCUUCCAUAGUGGUUAUCAUGCCCUACUAGGACGAACCACAUUUGCUCGAUUCAAUGCGGUACCGCACUACGCAUACCUCAAGCUCAAGAUGCCAAGACCUCGCAGGGUUAUAACAGCCAAGGGAAACACAAAACGCUCGCUCCGAACGGAGGAGCACACUGUGGCCCUCACAGCAGAAGUACAAAGCAGCCUUCUUAGGCAGACCGCCAAUUCGGCAAUAAAGCCCACGAACACCGUCAAGCGAGUCCCGAGUACCCUACAACAGGAUCGUCCGGCAUGUCCAAAGCUCGACUAGCAAUCCAGCCUCUGCCCUAGUCCCAACCAAGUGGCGAAAUUUGUGCCGUGCAUACAUAAUUACGCACUCAAAAUACCAUGGGCAUGGGUGGAGGCAGGGCUACGACACGGUCCACAAUGCGGCUCAACCGCCCGAGGACCCGAAUUCCUUCAUCAUUUUCUUUCUUCCAGGACCCUACUCUCUGAAAGCCCUUUCAGGUAGCCGGAUUAUCGGACUCAUCACAGGAAGGAAAGUCCAAGGAGGCAAGAAGCUUUGACAUAUAAGGGAAUACUCAGGUGGUCUCUGAUAACGAUCAUUAUACCUGUUUAACAUACCCACGUGCAGCUUACCCUUGGCUAGGACAUGUCAAAUAGUCCCAUUUUGCUUAUCGCACUACUUGUAUACAUACGCUUUGACGUAUUAUUUAAAUAACAAUUGUAAAAUAUACAGUGUCAGCUUAUUAUUACACUUUCUGUAUGUUUUUCCUUGGCGGCUUAUUUACUUCACACCGCACCCGUACACUUUGGUACGUUUAGUUCGCCAGGGGCUUCAGUGUACCCCAUAACACGGCAAGAAAAGUCCGAACACUUUUGACAGUGCGGCACCCCGAACUUAUAGCACUAUAUGCAUCAGCUCUGAAUCAUGUCUUGGGUCAAUAGUUGGGUUUGCCUGGCUCCCAUGUUUUGGUACCUUAUGUUUUGCUAUAUCGGCUAAGGUAGCACAGGGAGAACUACUGCGAUUGUGUCUCGGUUCUUCCGGACGAGCACCUCAGUAGAGAAAGCUGAAAACUGACUGUCAUGAUGAGGCGAGAGUUGGCCGUUGUUCGAGAGGUCUCAAAUCCUUCAAGAUUUUUUCUGCUUCAGGCGAGGAACUGGCCUCGUUCAAUUUAGGCGUGUAGAGCGCCCCAAGUUCGGUUUUCCGAAUACUAGGGGCUUCGCCAAAAUUUAAAAUUGUAGACUUCUAUGGCUAAGUGAGAGUGAUAAAGUUGUAUAGUCCGAUUGCCUUGUUCGCUGCGUUAAACACCUCCUUAAAAGGACCAAAAAUUUGGAUAAAGAGUGUUUAUAUUUAUCCCGAACACCCCAAUACUAGUUACAUGGGGGCAGAAUCCGACGACUGGCCAACUCUCAAGAUUUUAUAAACGGCCGCACAGAAGGUAAUAUUUUAAAUAAACAAGCGCCGUAUAGCGCACAUGAACUCAUUUUCACAUUACGGGAUGAUAUGAGUACAUUCAUUCAAAUAUUACAUCCUUAGCACAUUCAUCCGCCACAAGGCGGGCACCCUUAAUGACAUUGUCAUAGUAAUGUUCGGGGUGGCGAUGCUCCUUGCCCUUUGGCGGCCCCUCCGUCACCAGCUUCUCAGCGUCCAUCUUCCCCCAGUGCACUUUCGCACGGGCAAAGGCCCUGCGUGCACCUUCAAUGCAGAUGGACCGCUUAAUGACUUGAAGCCGCGGACAGGCAUUUACCAUAUGCUUUACAAGGCCGAAGUAGCUGCUGGGUAGGGGCUCGCCAGGCCACAGCCGGACUAUAAAGUCCUUCAUGGCCAGUUCGGCCGCCUUGUGCAGUUCGACCAGUUGCUACAGCUGGUUGCUCAAGGGCAUUGGAUGUUCGGCCCCAAUAUACUGGCGCCAGAACAGCUUCUCCGUCGAGAUCCCUUCCAGCACGGUAGAACUCUGCGCCAUCUGAUAUGUUGCACGGCAGAUCUGCGAACGCUCUUGGAGAGAUCUGAAUUCGGGUAAGUAAAAGGAAAUUCUCCUUCACAUGCUUGCUUUGCAUAACGAAAGCCAUACCCGCCGCUAUCUUCUUGGAAGCCUCAACCUCCUGGAGGGCCUUAUGGGCUUCAACCUUGGCGUCUUGCACGCUCUGACGGGCCUUCACAAGCUCCGACUCUUGCGUCUUGGAGUCACGCUCCAAGGACUCAAAUUUUUUGACGAAAUCCUGGAGCUCUUGCUGGACCUCAUCAACCAGAGCCUCUUGUUUUUCGCGCUCGGCGUGCUCCUUGGCCGCUUUGUCUUGGGCCUUGGAUAGCGCCUUCUUAAGGGCCGCCACUUCGGUCAUGGCCCCUAUUAUAUACAUGAUGCUUCGAUUAGCGUCCACAAUUUUCCCUUUAUAUAACAUUCAGACUGGGUAGCACUUACAUUUGUUCUCCUCGAGCUGCCUCUUCACGAGGCCGAGCUCUUCUUCGGCCCACCCCAGUUUCUGCUUCAGUCCGCAGACCUUCGUGGUAAGGGCGCCGGCAGCCAGCAGCGAUGCCUGCUUAUUCACAUAGACACAAUAUGAUUAGACUCUCGGGGAUAAUAUUUGAUCCUCUGUUCGGCCUUUCUUUUCGAACACCAAACAGAUCAUCAGGGGCUACUAUCUAUACUAUGAUACUUUCUCAUAAUUUAAUUACUUACCUCAAAGCCUGUCAGGAGGCUGGCGCAGGCUUCGGUCUACCCGCUUUUGGCAGACUGAACCUUCGCAAUCACCAUACUCAUAAGAGUACGGUGUUCUUCAUCAAGGGAAGCGCUCUGAAGCGCUUCCACCAGGUUAUACGAUACCUCUGGAUGGACAGAAGUCAUCAGCACAGGCGGCUCGCCCCCCUUAGCGAGGGGCUGCCUACCUGAACCCGGAACCACUGGAGGUUCCGGCGCAGUAUCCGGCUAGGGGCCAGACUUGCUGCGGCCCCCAUCAUUAGAAUCCAUGGGGGUCUCCCCCCCCAUGUGUCCGGCUUCUGGGAUUUCGCCUUGGGGCAUCUCCAGAACCGUCUCCCCCUGUUCUGGUAUCCUCUAAGACAACACCUCAGUCUUGUCUGCGGGCCGGGGGGUGGUGGCCAUCGGGAAUGAAUAACUAUUCAUCUCCGACUGGCUCAGAGAGCCAUCCGAGGAGGAUACGUUGAUAUGGGCCUUGGACGGACUGCACAAACACAUUUUGACAUGAUAAGAAGCCAUAAAGCUAAGCAUGCUAGAAGUAUUAUGGUAUUCGGAUACUUACGACUUUGCCAGGGGCUUGUCCCUGGGUAGCCACUCCUCGUCGCUGUAGGCGGCUGUGGUGGAGUGGUCUAGAGGGAGGUUCCUUCCCUUCUUGGACCCUUCGGCCUUCCCGGAUGGGGCGGCCUUCCUCUUCUUCUUCCCCUCGGUUUGGGGGGAGGGAUUUCCUCUUCCUCCUCCUCGUUUUUAGUGGAGGAGUUCGCCUCGGUGUCUUUGAACGAUGAGUCUGACACAACCUUGCGUCGGAGACCUUUCCUGGUCCCCGUGGACUUCUUCUUGGCCUUCUUCUCCGGCACCUCAUAGGGCGCCGAAAACAGCAUCUCCGUCAGGAGAGCAGUUGCUGGAUCUGCAGGCAACUGAGCUGGACAGUCCAUCCGCUCCGCUGUCGCCACAUAGUCCUGUUAAAUCAGUUUGAUGGCUUAGAUUCCUCUCACGAACAUACUGAGGAAAGGCACAUCUUGUGAAAUAUAGAGAGCUUACCGGAUUGGCAGGGCGCUUUGUGCUGAGUCCGCGGUCCUCGGUGGUGGGAGGGGGUACUUCGGCGGCCUUGAACAACACCUUCCGGAUGCCUUUGUGCAUCAUGUCGAAGAGCUCUCGCAGCGUCUGGUGUUUGGCCGAAUCGAACUCCCACAUGUUGAAUGCCCAUCUUUGACACGGGAGGAUCCGGCGGAAGAGCAUGACCUGGACCAUGUUGAGAAGCUUGAUCUUCUUGCUUAUCAUAUUCUUGAUGCAGUUCUGGAGUCCGGUCAGCUCUGCAGGUGCACCCCAGGCUAAGCCCUUCUUCUUCCAGGAGGUGAGCCGCAUGAGAAUGCCAGAUCGGAAUUCAGGGGCCGCCACCCAAUUGGCGUCGCGCAGCUCGGUGAUAUAGAACCACCCCGAUUGCCACCCCUUCACGGUCUCCAUGUAGGAGCCUUCAAGCCAGGUGACGUUGGGCAUUUUGCCCACCAUGGCUCCUCCGCACUCCGCUUGCUAGCCGACCACUAUCUUCGGCUUCAUGUUGAAGAUAUUUAGCCACAGGCCGAAGUGGGGCUUGAUGCGGAGGAAAGCCUCGCACACGACGAUAAACGCCGAGAUGUUGAGGAUGAAGUUAGGGGCCAGAUCAUGAAAAUCUAGCCCAUAGUAAAACAUGAGCCCGCGGACAAAUUUGUGGAGGGGGAAUCCCAGUCCGCGGAUGAAGUGGGUGAGGAACACAACCCUCUCAUGGGGUUCCGGAGUCGGAACGAUCUACCCUGCAUCCGACAGCCGGUGCGCGUUGUCUGCUGCCAAGUAUCCGGCCUCCCGGAGCUUCGUUAUGUCCUCCUCCAUGACGGAGGAGGCCAUCCACUUGCCUCCCGCUCUGGACAUGUUUGGAAUGGCUGUACGGAGAAGGUGAGAGCUGGGGCGCUGGAGCUCGAGCGGGUGAGAAUGGAUGAGCGAAGGAAGAAGAAGGCGUGGGUGAAAAAGGAGAAUCCUUAUCUCCUUAUAAAGGCGAUAGAAACAAUGCACCUCCCCACUUGCCCGUUAAAAUCGCUUAUUCCCCAAGUGCCAUGAUUGAUGGCGCGGUUGGGUUACCCACACCCGCAUUGAUGAGAAUCCCAUGAUAAGGGAACACGAUCUCUACUUCGACAAGACGUGCCAAGGAAACCGCCUCGCAAUAUGUGCAGUGGCUGGUUGAGAAAAACGGUUCGAAUAAUAAUCGGGCCGUGGCGUGACAUCACGCUAUGAAAGUUGUCAGUAGAUUAGAUUUGUGGAAUAUUGUGCUCUCUACGGUGGUAUGUGGACUUUGUUUUGCAGAGCCGGACACGAUUCUUGUGUUCAAAAUCUUCUAUGGAGUAUUCGGAGGAGGAACCCGCCUUGCAAUGCCGAAGACAACCUGCGUGCCGGACUCAUCGUCAUUGAAGCCUGGUUCAGGGGCUACUAAGGGAGUCCUGGAUUAAGGGGUCCUCGGAGAGCCGGACUAUAUACUUUGGCCGGACUGUUCGACUAUGAAGAUACAUGAUUGAAGACUUCGUCCCGUGUCCGGAUGGGACUCUCGUUUGCGUGGAAGGCAAGCUUGGCAAUUUGGAUAUGUAGAUCUCCUUUUCUAUAACCGACUCUGUGUAACCCUAGCCCCCUCCGGUGUCUAUAUAAACUGGAGGGUUUAGUCCGUAAAAAAACAAUCAUAAUCAUAGGCUAGCUUCUAGGGUUUAGGCUCUACGAUCUCGUGGUAGUUCAACUCUUGUAAUACUCAUAUCAUCAAGAUCAAUCAAGUAGGAAGUAGGGUGUUACCUCCAUCGAGAGGGCCCGAACCUGGGUAAAACAUCGUGUCCCCUGUCUCCUGUUACCAUUAGCCUUAGACGCAUAGUUCGGGACCUCCUACCCGAGAUCCGCCGGUUUUUACACCGACACCUAUUACCGCUCUUUUCUCGUGCAAUGGUGAGUGAAUAAACACCCAGCCUGAGAAUAACCCUCUUAGCAUGGAAGAUACCAACUACCUCCUGUCGCUCUAUGAAUAAUCCAGGAACACAAAAAGGAUAUUUAUUUGAAGGUUUUAGAGGUGGCACAUGCAAAUUUACUUAGGACGGCAGGGUAAUACCGCAUGUAGGUAGGUAUGGUGGACUUAUCUGAAUAACUUGGGUUUCAAGUUUUUGAUGUACAAGCAGAGUUCCCACUUAGUACAGGCGAAGGCUAGCAAAUAGGUUGAGAAGCGGCCAGCUAGAGAGCAACAACGGUCAUGAACAUGCAUUAUGCAUAAGUAAAAUUGGAUACUAGCAUUAGUAGGAUAUGAACACCAUGAACAUAGAUAUCAUAGAGGCUAUGUUGGUUUUGAUUCAACUACAUGCAUGAACAUGUGCUAAGUCAAGCCACUCGAACAUUCAGAGGAGGAUACCAUAUCAUCAUACUAUAUCACAAUCAUUUUGACGCAACGUUGACAUCCAAGAUAAAUCAUUAUCCACUACUAGCUACUUAUGCAUGGCAUGAGAAACUAUAAUCUCUAAUUGUCAUUGCAAACAUGUUUGAUCAUAAUAGGCUAAAUCAUGGAUACUAGGUUAAACAUAUUUACAAAAACAGAACAAGUCGCGUCCAUACCCGUUUCUCUCUGCCAUGGCCAGUUCAUCGAAUAUCGUCAUUAUUGCCUUUCACUUGCACGACCGAACAAUGUGAAAAUAAUAAUAGUGCAAGAGUGUUGUGGACUAAGCUGUAAUCUGCAAACAUUUUAUUCAAAAGGAGAAGACAAGGUAAUAUGGGCUCUUCAGAUCAACAAUAAUGCAAAUGAGAGCCACUCAACAUUUUCAUCGUGGUCUUCUCCUUGGUAUGACUCAAUAAAAAGAAAAGAAAUUUAGAGAAACACACUGAAAUAUUUUUGGAGUUUUUGUUUUUUUCGUAAACAAGCAAAUAAAAAUGGGUCCACCACAGAGUCCUUAUUAAACAACAUUAUAUAAGUGAAAUUAUGGGGUUCACCUCUAAGGAUCUUAUGAUGUUUCAUAGCAUCAAAGUCUAGGUACUGCAUGGGUAAAAUAGGAUCAUAGGGCAAAGGUGAAACACCCAGUUCUCAUCGUGGUCUUCUCCUUGGUAUGACUCAAUAAAAACAAAAGAAAUUUAGAGAAACACACCAAAAUAUUUUUGGAGUUUUUGGUUUUUCGUAAAUAGGCCAAUAAAAGAGAAAAGCAAAAAUGAGAAAAACUAUUUACACGGGAAAGCUCCCAACAAGCAAAGGAAGAACAAGGAAAUCUUUUUGGGUUUUCUUUUUAGUGCUACAACAAUUUAAACUAGGAAGAAAAAUUAAAAAGAAGCAAGAAACAUAUUUUUGGAUUUUCUCAAAGUUUUUCAAACACACAAGAAGAAAGCAAGAAAAUAAAUUUAACAUUGAUAUUACAAUGAAAAAGUGUGAACACCGACAACUGGAAUGAAAUGUGUGUACAUGAAUGUAAUGUCGGUGGGAAUACGUACUCCCCCAAGCUUAGGAAGGUCCAAUGUUGAAGUGCUGGGGAGUGGGCACCUGAGGAUCCCACUGCUGAGGCUCUUCCUGUGCCGCAGCCAGGUUGUUCCGAUAAGCGAUAAUGUCCUCAGGCAUAAUCCUGUAUCCGCCCCUGGCAACAUGAUCAAACAAAGCAGGUGCAGGCAAGGGAAUAAUACCACGAGUUUUCUCACUAAAAACUAAGUUAGAGGGAAUAUCAAUAUCAGGGUAAUCAACUGCAAUAAACUGGUGGUCCUCCAUAGCUGCUCUAUCUAAGUAAACCUUGGGCAAACGAUGGUCAUGCUGGCGUAUCUGCACGUUAAAGUGAGUCGCUAAAUGAGUAGAAUAAAUGCCCCAUUGUAUUUUACCCUUGGAUCUGUUGAUGUGAAGGCGACGUGCCACUAUAGCUCCCAAGCUAUAUGUGUUGUCGCCAUACAGUGCGCGAUGUAAAACAACAAAGUCUAGAACGCUAAGUGCACCCACCUUCUCUCUAGCAAGUAAGCAUUUUGCAAUAAAUAUAGCAAAAUAAUGCACAACACGAAAAUGCAAGAUAGUAGCAAUGGCACUCGAUAUUCCCCUAUCACCCCCACCGUCAGAGUACGGUAAAAACCAUCAAACUCCACGGGCCUAGGCUCUACCAAUUCACCAUCAGAAGGUAGCAUGCAUAUGUCACAAAAUUCAGUAAGUGGUAUCUGGUGGUUUUCAGCAUAUAAAUUAAAUGACACCUCAGGGGGAUCAAUUCCUAGAAUGGAAAUGAAAGUUUUGCACAAAGGAAUUUGUGAGGAGAUGAUACUGUUCGCAUUUAGCUGCGAUGAAGUCGGUGAGGCCGGCAUUAGCAGCAUAUUGUGUGAACUCUUGAAGGAUUUCAGCCCCUUACAAGAGCGGAUUAUGCGGCCAUUCGCAUGGCCGUAACUCCACCAAUUGCCGGGUAUGAAGAUAAUUGCUAGAUGACUCCCCAAUAACUCCCUCGGAGCUCUUUUUAGAAGCAAACUUCCUAAAGAAACUCAUCUUUUUCCUAUGAACAAAAUUCUGAAACGUCCAUUUUGCAUCAUGUUUUCCUACUAUUAUAUUAUGUUGUUUUACUGUAUAAUAAUGCUUUUUGGAGAAUUCUGGCAGCUGGAAAUCUGGACUUGGAAAAUCUACGUCAAGCUACCUAUUCUGCAAAACUCCAAACGAGCUGAAACUCCCCGAGGAUUUUUUAUGUAAUAUUUAAUAAAUAUUGGAGCAAAUAAGUACCAAAGGAGGGCCACCAGGUGGGCACAACCCACCUGGGCACGUCAGGAGGCCCAGGCGCACCCUGGUGGGUGCUUCCCUCCUCGGCCCACCUCCGUUGCCCACAUUCUAGUAUAUAAGUCAUUUUGGCCUAGAAAAAAAAUAAGGGGAGGACAUUCGGGACGAAGCGCCGCCGCCUCAAGGCGGAACUUGGGCAGGAGCACUUUUUCCUUCUGGCGGAGCGAUUCUGCCGGGGGAACUUCCCUCCCGGAGGGGGAAAUCAGCGUCAUCAUCAUCACCAACAACUCUCCCAUCUUGGGGAUGGCAAUCUUCAUCAACAUCUUCACGGAACCAACUCCUAUCAAACCCUAGUUCAUCUCUUGUGUUCAAUCUUCGUAUCAAAACUAUAGAUUGGUGCUCGUGGGUGACUAGUAGAGUUGAUUACAUCUUGUAGUUGAUUACUAUAUGGUUUAUUUGGUGGAAGAUUAUAUGUUCAGAUCCAUUAUGAUAUUCAAUACCCCUCUGAUCUUGAGCAUGUUUAUCAUUUGUGAGUAGUUACUUCCGUUCUUGAGGUCACAGGAGAAAUCAUGUUGCAAGUAAUCAUAUGAACUUGAUAUGUGUUCGAUAUUUUGAUGGUAUGUAUGUUGCUAUUCUCUUAGUGGUGUCAUGUGAAUGUUGACUACAUGACACUUCACCAUAUUUGGGCCUAAGGGAAUGCAUUGUGGAGUAGCUAUUAGAUGGUGGUUUGUGAGAGUGACAGAAGCUUAAACCCCAGUUUAUGCGCUAUUCCGUAAGGGAACGAUUGGAUCCAAAAGUUUAAUGCUAUGGUUAGAAUUUAUUCUUAAUACUUUUCUCAUAGUUGCGGAUGCUUGCAAGAGGGUUAAUCACAAGUAGGAGGUUUGUUCAAGUAAGAACAACACCUAAGCACCAGUCCACCCACAUAUCAAAUUAUCAAAGUACCGAACACGACUUAAGCCAACCUGAUGAAAGUGACUAGAUGAAAUUCCCGUGUACCCUCAAGAACACUCUGCUUAUCAUAAGAAACCGUUUUGGCCUGUCCUUUGCCUCAAAAGGAUUGGGCUACCUUGCUGCACUUUUGCUACUACUAUUGUUACUUGCUCAUUGCAAAUUAUCUUGCUAUCAAACUACUCUGCUACUUAUAAUUUUAGCACACACAGACAGUACCUUGCAGAAAACCACUUGCCAUUUCCUUCUACUCCUCAUUGGGUUCGACACUCUUACUUCAAGAAAAAUCUACAAUUGACCCCAUAUACUUGUGGGUCAUCAAGGCUAUUUUCUGGCGCCAUUUCCGGGGAGUGAAGCACUCUUGGUAAGUGGAAAUUGGUAAGGAAACAUUAUUACUAUGUGCUGAAAUUUAUUGUCACUUGCUACUAUGGAAAACAAUUCUUUGAGGGGUUUGUUCGGGGUAUCUUCACCUCGACCGGAACCACAUUUAGUUACCCCUCAACCUACUGCACCUACUGAAAAUAUUGAAUAUGAAAUUCCUUCGGGUAUGUAAGAACAACUACUAGCUAAUCCUUAUGCAGGAGAUGGAACCGAACAUCCUGAUAUGCACUUGAUAUAUGUGGAUAAAAUUUAUGGAUUAUUUAAGCUUGCAGGUUUGCCUGGAGAUGAAGCUAAGAAGAAGGUUUUCCCUUUAUCUUUGAAGGGAAAAGCAAUGACAUAGUAUAGACUAUGCGGUGAUAUUGGAUCUUGGAACUAGAACCGUUUGAAAUUGGAAUUUCAUCAAAAACAAUAUCUUGUGCAUCUAGUUCAUCGUGAGCGGAAUUAUAUAUAUAAUUUUUGGCCUCGUGAAGGAUAAAGUAUUGCUCUAGCUUGGGGGAGGCUUAAGUCAAUGUUAUAUUCAUGCCCCAAUCAUGAGCUCUCAAGAGAAAUUAUUAUUCAGAAUUUUUAUGCUCGGCUUUCUCGUAAUGAUAAAUCCAUGCUCGAUACUUCUUGUACUGGUUCUUUUAUGAAGAAGACUAUUGAAUUCCGGUGGGAUCUUUUAGAAAGAAUUAAACGCAACUCUGAAUAUUGGGAACUCGAAGAAGGUAAAGAGUCAGGUAUUGAACCUAAGUUUGAUUGUGUUAAAUCUUUCAUGAAUACCGAUGCUUUUCAAAAGUUUAGCACUAAAUAUGGACUUGACUCUGAGAUAGUAGCUUCCUUUUGUGAAUCUUUUGCUACUCAUGUUGAUCUCCCUAAGGAGAAGUGGCUUAAAUAUCAUCCGCCAAUUAAAGAAGAAGUUAAAGAACCGGUAAAAGAUAAAGAAGAAAUUAUCAUUUAUAAUGUUGAUCCAGUUGUUCCCACUGCUUAUAUCGAAAAACCACAUUUUCCUGUUAGGGUGAAGGAACAUGCUAAAGAUUCAAUUGUGGUUAACAAAAGUUAUGUUAGAACACCCAAACCUUCUGAAAAAAUCAAAGUUGAACCUAGUGUUGCUAUGGUUAAAGAUAUCUUAGUGGAUAAUAUUGAUGGGCAUGUUAUUUACUUUUGUGGUGAAGCUUCUAGAAUUACCAAACCUGAAGGAAAAUAUAAACAUAGACCAGUUGUUGGCAUGCCUGUUGUCUCAGUUAAGAUAGGAGAUCACUUUUAUCAUGGGUUAUAUGACCUAGGUGCUAGUGUAAGUGCUAUUCCUUUCUCCUUAUAUCAAGAAAUUAAAGAUGAAAUAGCACCUGCUGAAAUAGAAGACAUAGAUGUCACUAUUAAACUUGCUAAUAGACAUACUAUAUCACCAACUGGGAUUUUUAGAGAUGUUGAAGUCUUGUGUGGGAAAAUAAAAUACCCUACUGAUUUUCUUGUUCUUAGCACCCCACAAGAUGACUUUUGUCCCAUUACUUUUGGUAGACCUUUCUUGAACACUGUCAAUGCUAAAAUAGAUUGUGAGAAACAAACUGUCGGUGUUAGCUUUGAUGAUGAAUCUCAUGAGUUUAAUUUUUCCAAGUUUAGUAAACAACCUCAUAAGAAAGUUUUCCUAGUAAGGAUCAAAUUAUUAGUCUUGCUUAUAUUGAUGUGCCUCCUACUGAUCUUUUGGAACAAUAUUUGCUAGACCAUGAAAAUGAUUUGCAUAUGCAUGGAAGAAAUGAAAUAGAUAGAAUCUUUUUCGAACAACAACCUCUGCUUAAACACAAUUUGCCUAUUGAAACUCUAGGAGGUUCUCCUCCACCUAAAGGUGAUCCUGUGUAUGAAUUAAAAUAAUUGCCAGACACUCUAAAAUAUGCUUAUCUUGAUGAAAAGAAGAUAUAUCAUGUUAUUAUUAGUGCUAACCUUUUUGAACAUGAAGAAGAAAGACUAUUGAAAGUUCUAAGGAAGCCCAGGGCUGCUAUUGGAUAUACUCUUGAUGAUCUUAAGGGCAUUAGUCCCACUCUAUGUCAGCAUAAGAUUAAUAUGGAACCUGAUGCUAAACCCGUUGUUGAUCACCAACGUCGGUUAAACCCGAAAAUGAAAGAAGUGGUAAGAACGGAAAUACUGAAACUUCUGGAAGCAGGUAUAAUCUAUCCUAUAGUUGAUAGUAGAUGGUUAAGUCAUGUUCAUUGUGUCCCUAAGAAGGGAGGUAUUACUGUUGUUCCUAAUGAUAAGAUUGAGCUUAUUCCACAAAGAACUAUCACAGGCUAUAGAAUGGUAAUUGAUUAUAGAAAAUUAAAUAAAGCUACUAGAAAGAUCAUUACCCUCUGCCUUUUAUUGAUCAAAUGUUAGAAAGAUUAUCAAGCACACACAUUUUUGCUUCCUUGAUGGAUACUCUGACUUUUCACAAAUACCUGUUUUACAAUCUGAUCAAGAAAUGACCACUUUUACUUCUCCUUUUGGAACAUUUGCUUAUAGACGCAUGCCUUUCGGUUUAUGUAAUGCACCUGCUACCUUUCAAAGAUGUAUGACUGCUAUAUUCUCUGAUUUUUUUGAAAAGAUUGUUGAGGUUUUCAUGGAUGAAUUUUCUGUUUUAUGGGAAGUCUUUUGAUGAUUGUUUAAGCAAUCUUGAUCGAGUUUUGCAGAGAUGUGAACAAACAAAUCUUGUCUUGAAUUGGGAGAAGUGCCACUUUAUGGUUAACGAAGGUAUUGUCUUGGGCCAUAGAAUUUCUGAAAGAGGCAUUGAGUUGGACAAAGCCAAGGUUGAUUCAAUUGAGAAAAUGCCAUGUCCUAAAGAUAUCAAAGGUAUUCGUAGUUUCCUUCGUCAUGCUGGUUUCUAUAGGAGGUUUAUCAAAGACUUUUCUAAAAUUUCUAGGCCUCUUACUAGUUUUUGCAAAAGGAUAUUCCCUUUGUGUUUGAUGAUGAUUGCAUGGAAGCGUUUGAAACACUAAAGAAAGCCUUAAUUAUUGCACCUGUUGUUCAACCACCUGAUUGGAACUUGCCUUUUGAGAUUAUGUGUGAUGCUAGUGAUUAUGUUGUUGGUGCUGUUCUAGGACAAAGAGUUGAUAAGAAACUAAUAUUCAUUAUGCUAGUAAAACUCUAGACAGGGCUCAACGAAACUAUGCUACUACUGAAAAAGAAUUCUUAGCAGUGGUGUUUGCUUGUGAUAAAUUCAGAUCUUACAUUGUUGAUUAUAAAGUAAUUGUUCACACUGAUCAUGCUGCUAUAAAAUAUCUUAUGAAAAAGAAAGAUGCUAAACCUAGACUCAUUAGGUGGGUACUUCUACUACAAGAAUUUGAUUUGCAUAUCACGGAUAGGAAAGGAGCAGAGAACCCCGUGGCUGGUUACUUGUCUAGACAUGAAAAUAUUCUUGAUGACCCACAACCAAUUAAUGAUAGCUUCCCUGAUGAACAACUAGCUGCAAUAAAUGUUUCUGAUAGUACACGUUGGUAUGCUGACUAUGCUAAUUAUAUCGUUGCUAAAUACAUACCACCUAGCUUCACAUACCAACAAAAGAAAAAAUCUUCUAUGAUUUAAGACAUUACUUUUGGGAUGACCCACAUCUUUAUAAAGAAGAAGUAGAUGGUAUUAUUAGACGUUGUGUACCUAAGCAUCAACAGGAACAAAUCCUACAGAAAUGCCACUCCGAAGCUUAUGGAGGACAUCACGCGGGAGAUAGAACCGCUCAUAAGGUAUUGCAAUCUGGUUUUUACUGGCCUACUCUCUUCAAGGCUGCUCGUAAGUUUGUCUCAUCUUGUGAUGAAUGCCAAAGAAUAGGUAAUAUCGGUAAGCGUCAAGAAAUGCCUAUGAAUUAUUCACUUGCUGUUUAACCAUUUGAUGUUUGGGGAUUUGACUUCAUGGGACCUUUCCCUUCCUCUAAUGGGUAUGCACAUAUUUUGGUUGCUGUUUUAUAUUUUACUAAGUGGGUAGAAGAUAUUCCAACCAAUAGUGCUGAUCACAACACCUCUAUUAAAAUGCUUAAGGAAGUUAUUUUCCCAAGGUUUGGAGUUCCUAGAUAUUUAAUGACUGAUGGUCGUGCACACUUUAUUCAUGGUGCUUUCUGUAAAAUGCUUGAUAAGUAUGAUGUUAAUCAUAGAAUUGGGUCACCUUAUCAUCCUCAGUCUAGUGGUCAAGUUAAACUUAGCAAUAGAGAAAUAAAACUAAUCUUACAAAAGACUAUUAAUAGGUCCCGGAAGAAUUGGUCUUAGAAAUUAGAUGAUGCACUUUGGGAUUAUAGAACAGCUUACAAAAAUCCUAUGGGCAUGUCUCCAUAUAAAAUGGUUUAUGGAAAAGAUUGUCAUUUACCUCUUGAGUUAGAACACAAAGCAUUUUGGGCAAUAAAAGAACUCAAUUAUGAUUUCAAACUUGCUAGAGAAAAGAUGUUAUUUGAUAUUAGCUCAUUAGAUGAAUGGAGAACCCAAGCUUAUGAAAAUGCUAAGUUAUUCAAAAAAAAGUUAAAAGAUGGCAUGACAAAAGAAUCCAAAAGUGUGAGUUCAAAGUAGGUGAAUGUGUUCUUUUGUACAACUCUCGUUUCAGAUUCUUUGCAGGAAAACUCCUCUCCAAAUGGGAAGGACCCUAUGCCAUCGAGGAGGUCUAUCGAUCCGGAGCUAUCAAAAUAAAUAGUCUUAAAGGGACUAACCCAAAGGUUGUCAAUGGGCAGCGAAUAAAACACUAUAUCUCAGGUAUGCCCAUUAAUGUUGAAAGCAAUGUUCUCCAAACUUUGACACCGGAGGAACACAUAAAAGAGUCCUUCCGGAACACUCCAGAAUCGUGAAAAUAAGGAGGUACGAGAUACGGUAAGUAAUCAGACUCCGAAAAAUCCACAAAAAUAUUUUUUGUUAGUUUUGGAAUAUUUAGAAAAUUAGGAAAAUAAGAAACUUCCAGGGAAGUGACCCUGGUGGGCAUAAUACACCAGGGCAUGCCAGGCAUGCCUGGCAUGCCCGAGUGGGUUGUGCCCACCUCGGGUACUUUCCGGUGUUCGUUUUUCUUCCGUUCUGCUUGUUCCCCAAGAUAAAAAAUCUAUAUAUACCUCCUGAACCUAUUAACCUCCAUAUCGCAGAUAAAUCUCCUAUUUUCUUUUCUCUCUGUUUUCCUGUCAGAUUUGAAAUUCUAUCUUCCCAAGACUCGAAGGGUGAGAGUUAUGUUGCAGAAUUUAUCACAAACCCCAAGGUUUAUGGGGAUGUGGAUCACUAUGACCGGACCUCAAAGGAAGAAGAAGACUCUGAUCCUAUGAGGAAGGAGGAGACAAGCUCGGAGGAGGAUGAAGUUCCAUUGCCCCAACAUGGGGACAUGCAGGUUGAAUUUAAGAAGUCAAGUCUCCCCAAUAAAGCAAAGAGGCCUAAGAUCCAGUUUAUCCCUUUUCGUCUCUUGCAGGAAAAUAGGCAAUAUUUAUGCAAAAAUGCAUUGGAGCUUGAGUGGGAGAUCUGAGAACUGAAAGAUGAGAACUCCGUCCUCAAGCGUAGGCUGAGGAAGAAAGGCAAGAAACCAUCUACUUCACCACCACUGUUUUCUUCAUCACCACCAAAAGAAAACUGAGUAUUGGAUAUGGGCACUCGCCUUGGCUUUCGCCAAGCUUGGGGGAGGUCCCCCGGUAUCGUAUCAAUCUCCACUAUCUUUUGCCUUUUUCUUAGUUCGAUCAAUGGUUAUCUUUUGCUAUUAGAUGAAUAAAAUUUUAGUUCGAUCCUUCCUUUUUAUGAGUUUGCUUAGUGAUCAAUCCUUGUAAUCGUGUGCGAGAUAUAAUAAAAGUUUAGUUUGAGUUUUGCCUUCUUUACUUUCUCGCUGCAAUAAAAAGAAAGGAAAUAAAAGAAAAAUAUCAUAUGCUAAUCUUAUGGUAAGUGAUGACAUUACACAAGGAAAAGUAUGAGUAGAAAUUUUUAUUGUAGAUUGACAAACAUAGCAUUGGUCAAUGAUGCAACACAUGAAAGAAUUAAUAAGGGAAGAGAAGAUUCACAUAUAAAAACACUAUCAUGGAAAUCAUUUGUGAUUGUGAGCACCCAUCAAAAUAUUAUAUGCCAAAGUUGUUGACGUUGGACAAGGAAAACAACUUAAUGAUUUAUGUUUGUUCAUAUUCACGAAGAAGUCAUAUUGUCAUAGAUCCUUCAACAUGUGGUGCUUGCCCCUAUCUUUGCUAGCCAAAAACUCCGCACUAAGUAGAGAUACUACUUGGGCAUCCAAAAUCCUUAAACCCUAUCUUGUUUGAGAGUCCACCAUACCUACCUAUGGAUUGAGUAAUAUCCUUCAAGUAAGUUGUCAUUGGUGCAAAAGGGCAAUAAAAAUUGCUUAUAAAAAUGUGAGAUCAUUUAGUGUAAGGGAAAAUUGAGCGUUGUACGAAAUUGUGAUGGUGAAGAAUAAAAGCGACAGACUGCAUAAUAAAGGUUGCCAUUACAAGGGGCAAUAUAACAUUGACGUUCUCUUGCACUAAGGGGUUGAGCAUACAAACAAAAAGCGCAUGGAAACCUUUGCUUCCCUCUGCGAAGGGCCUAUCUUUUACUUUCAUGUAUUUACUUUAAUGCAAGAGUCAAAGUUUUUCUAUCUAUUCCUUUUAUUUUUCUCCUUUGGCAAGCAUCAUGUGGUGAGGAAAGAUCUAGGCACAUAUGUCUAGUUGAAUAUGAGUGGCAUAAGUUAUUAUUGUUGACAUCACCCUUGAGGUGAGUAUGUUGGGAGGUGAAAUUAUAAGUCCCUAUCUUUCUUUGUGUCCAGUUGAAACAUUUUGCUCAUGUGUACGCGGUGAGUGUUAGCAAUCAUAGAAGAUUAAAUGAUGGUUGCGUAGGUGGACUUGCCUAAAGGCUCCGAUACGUGACCCUUCCUAAAAAGAUGAUGAAUUGUAGUUGCAAAGUUAACUGAGAACAUAGUUUGGUUUACAAUAGAGUUUAUGCUUUAUACUUCAUUGUUGUGAUGAAUUGUCACUUGUUCAUGAGAAGUCUAUGAUAAAAGUUCUACAAUAAAAGUUUUGUAUUAAAGUUUGUUGCUAUUAUAAUAAGUCACAUGAUGCUGCUAUGUCCAUAUUUUUGUUUUUAUCGACACCUCUCUCUCUAAGCAUGUGGGCAUGUUUUUCGAUUUUGGUUUUCGCUUGAGGACAAGCGAGGUCUAAGCUUGGGGGAGCUGAUACGUCCGUUUUGCAUCAUGUUUUCCUACUGUAAUUUAUGUUGUUUUAUUGUAUAAUAAUGCUUUUUUGAGUAAUUCUAAUGUCUUUUCUCUCAUAAUAUGCAAGGUAUGCACCAAGGGCGAGAAUUCUGGCAGCUGGAAAUCUGGACCUGAAAAAGCUAUGUCAAGCUACCUAUUCUGCACAACUCCAAAUGAGCUGAAACUCCUCGAGGAUUUUUUAUGGAAUAUUUAAUAAAUAUUGGAGCAAAUAAGUACUAGAGGAGGGCCACCAGGUGGGCACAACCCACCUGGGCGUGCCAGGAGGCCCAGGCGCGCCCUGGUGGGUGCUGCCCUCCUCGGCCUACCUCCAUGCCAAUCUUCUGGUAUAUAAGUCAUUUUGACCUAGAAAAAAA
rnacentral:lncRNA from 1 species